rnacentral:lncRNA from 1 species
UCACACCUUGGAAAAUUGAUGACCGUCCGAUCUCGAUCGGACGGUGUCAACCCUUGUUGCCCAUCACCAUGACUUGUGAUGGAUGUGAUCCUAGGGCAAUGAGGCCAAUGAAGACCAAAAAUUGAAGUGUCUACAUAUGACAUAUGGGAAAAUAAGACGUGGGCCAACCUUGUCCAUAUAUAAAUGGCCUAAAGCUUUAGGCCACAACUCAAUUUGCUUUCUAUCUCAUAUUCCCCUCACAUAUUUUUCAGCUAUGAAUCACUUUCACCUCUCCCUCUUCAUUGCCUUUCUCCUUUUCUUCACUCCGAUGACCGUCCAGGCCGCUCGACACAGCUUCCCUCGGCUCUCCUUCGCCAGCCAACAAGUUUUCCGACCGCCGGAAGAAGCUCCCAUCCACGGACAUGCCAGUGAGUACUUCAAAUCGGAGAAAAGAAGAGUCCCAACAGGAUCAAACCCGUUGCACAACAAGCGAUAGUAUCGAUCUUUUCGACGAUUUUUCCUUUCAUUUCAUAUGAUCAUAUGCUACAGACUUUAAAGUAAUAGGUUAUAGGGGUGUAGAGAUGAUGUACAGAAGGUAAAGAAGAUAUAUAUAGUAGCUGGAAUCCAUAUAUAUGUACCAUGAGUUUGAUAUAUAUUCUUAUUUAUAGAUUUGUUUAGCUUGAUUGUUGCAGCUAGGGUUUGUGAUUUUAGCCCAUAUUGUGAAAUGGUUGUCUUUGUAAUAGCUUUAUAGUUUGAUAUUUUGUACGAUUUAGUGUUUUACAUUAUAUAAAUAUAUAUACCUCUAUGUUUCGUGAGUUUUUCCUUUGUUUUCUUGCCAACCAAACAACUAUGAGAAUUAUGAUCAUAUCAAUGCUUCUUGAUGAUCCAAUCUUCUCCUACCAUCAAAUUUAUCUCUCAUCAAUUUGAGUUUUUCAAAUUGGGAAAUUGCGUGAGGCCGAGUCACCGAACCGGGUUUCUGACUUGGAUCAUAGGAGAGUCAUUAAAUGUGUAGUAUAAAUACCCAUAAUUUCAUGCAACCACCAUGCACUUAAGAGCCAUUGUUGUACAGGAAGAGUAUGUGUUUCAUACACUUGCAAAAACCAAGGCAAGAAAUGCAGAAAUCAAGGCUUGUGAUGGUUGUACCUUUUGGACAGUACGUGCUUUAACUUAUACUUAGAAGAUAUAAGUCAAAAUAAGAGGGGUAAUAGUGGGAAAAAAGGAUGAUGGUAGAAGCAUGAAUAUCCCUGCAUUUUGAGCAAUUCAAGUGUUGUAGAGAGAAUAGGGUUUUUGUGAAGGUGGUGUGGUCCACAGUGUGGAAGUGCAGAUAUGGUUAUUACGGCUCCACUUUUCUUUAUGGGUAUGCGCAUGGUGUAUUUGAAGUUAGUGAAGUUAUUAUUAUUACAUGGUUGAAAAAGAAAAAACUUUGGGUUGCCCUAGUCAAAUGAGAAAUAUUGCCAUCUUCACACAUCAAUAAAGGUAUGAGAUGAAUUGACCUAUCAUAAUAAUAGCUCAUGCCAUAAAUAAAUAAAUAUUACACAUAUAAUAUAGUAUGCCAUAAAGUCCAUUUUUGAGGUUGCAGUUUCCGGGAUUUAGGGUUUAAGCCUCAGAGUAGGGUUGGGAUCCAAGAUCUUGAUGAUGAUGAUGAUAUGGAAAAACCUCUUCUAAGUUCAAGGUAUUAUAUUCAAAAGAAGGUCUAUUUGCUCUUUUGUCUUUUUCAUUUUCUUGCUUUAUCAGAGAAGUUGAAGGCAAACCAUGAUAAGGAAGUGUAAUUUUUGAAGUCAUAAGAAAAUUGUAGGAGAGAGAUGUGUAAUUUGUCUUGUUUUAAGCUAAUGAAAGAAUAUAUUUAUGAUUUAAAAAUAAAAUAAUUGGCUAAAAGGGAUAAAAUUAAUAAUCUCUAUAUUUAUGGAUUUAUGGUUUCUCAUGUUUUUGUUUGAAAAAUAACCAAUUUUUUACAUAAAUAUCUUUGAUUAUUUUAAGUAUUUAUAGUAUGCUUUAAAAAAAAUAGUUAUUUUUAUAAAUAAAAAAAAACAAUAUAAAUUGGGUUUCCAAUAACCCCCUUAAUCAAAUAACCCUUUAAAAAUCGCAUAAAAAAUAUGAUAUUAAUUUGAAAGUGAUCUUGAUAAAAGCGUUAAAUUAUAUAAUGCUUUUGUUAAUUGUAUGUUUAUUAAAAUUAUUUCUAUAGAGAAAUUGGUAUUUGAAUAUAAGGUAAAAAAAAAAAUGUUUUUAACUCAAUGGUAUUUUUAGAGUUCGUUUGGUAGUGAUUCUAGAAAUUAAUUUUAAUCUAAAAAUUAUUAUUUUUUAAAUAAAUGAAAAAGAGAGAAAUUUGACACAUUUUUUAAAAUAUGAAGAAUUAUUUGUAGUGUUGGAAAAUCAUUUAUAAUAUUUUUUUUAAAAAAUAUUUGAUAAGUGAUUCUCUUAAAAAUACUUUCAAAAAAAAUAUUUUCACUAAAAAUAUUUCAAAUAGAAAUACUGUCAAAUACACUAUUAAUAAUAUAUUAUGUAAUAAAUAAAUAAUCAAUUGCACAAAGAAGCAUUUAUCGUGUGCUAAUCUAUGAAUCAAUUUCAGAUUAUUCUUUAAAUUUUUAAAAUUAAUUUUUGAAUGACUUUUAGUAUUUUUUUUCCCCAAACAUCUCAAUUUUGCAAGAGAAGUGUGUCCAAGUUUUAAUACAUACAAAGUUCUAACUCAUAGUUUCAUGCUUCAUCAAGAUUUCAAGUAUAGUGGUUGUGGGUUCUAGAAGGAUGGAUGACAUGAUAGUUGAAAAUAUUUGAAGAGGGAUUAAAGUCGAUUCUCAUUCAAAAAUUCUAGAAAAUGGGUCCUACAAGAAGACUAGGCCAAUCCAUCUCAGAGACAUCUAUUGUUUCUUUGGCAAUAGAUUUUAAUGGCAUAAAAAUACAAGGAUCAAUUCAUCACCUUAGUUGCAUUCAAUCAUCCAAUCGAUAGAGCCAUUUGAAUUGUCUAAAACUACAUGAGUGAUUGAUUGUACCCAUGCAUGAUUUUGAUUGCUCGAAUACAAUUGUCUAAAAUUAUUAGAUUAGUUUAUUCUCACAAGUUUUAAAGGAUUUUGGUUGAUAAAAUAAAAUAAGAUAUCAUAUGUAUAUCGUAAGAUUUUAUUUUUAAUGGAAUAUAAUAUAUUUAAAUAUUAUAUCUAAUGGAUAUGUUAUAUAUAAUAUCUAAUGGAUAUGUUAUAUAUACUUAUAUUUGGUGUGUAUGAGAAAUAAAAAAUAAAAUGAUUAUUUUAAUAUUUGAUAUUUGUUUAAAACAAAAAUUAUAUUACAUCAUACUAUUUUCUAUUUAAAAAAUAAAAUCUCUUUCAUAUUUAAUAUUAUUUAAACAUCGUUCAUUCUAUAGUUUAUCAUUUAGUAAGUAAAUUUUUUAUUUAUUUAUUAAUAAUAUUCUUAAUUAAAAGAUUUAAAAUUUAUAAAUAAAAAUAUUAUAUUAUGUUGUUAAAUAUAUAUAUAUAUUAAUACGUUUAUUAAUAUUAUUUUAGAUUAUAUUCUAUACAUAUUUUUUUUAUUCUUUUCUUUUUCAAACUAUAAUUUUAAUUUAUUAAUGAAAUUUUUUUUAUCUUGUAAAAUGAUUAAUAUAAAGAAUUAAAAAAUAAUAAAAGAAAUGAAUGGGAAAAAUAAAUUUAUAUAUCAUGAGAUAUGUAUAAUCCAUAUAUCAACUUAAAAUUAUCAUAUCGCAUAUAUAAAAAAUAUAAAUAAAACAUUGAAUAAUAUAUUUUACUACUUAUCUUAUCUUAUCUUAUGUUUGAUUGAAUAUGAGAUAUAAUAAGUUAUAGGAUAAAUUAUCAUAUCUCAUGUUAUAUUUAGUAAACCAAACAUAAUUGUAGGAUUUAUUUUCAAAUGUAAAAGAGUUUUAAAGAAAAAAAAAAUUCAUAUAUCAAAACUUAAAACCUCAAGGUCUAAUUGUUGGAAAUUAAGUUUAAGUUUCACUUUUCUUUCAAAGAAGUAUGGAGUGGCAAUUAAUAAGUAAUUAGAGAUUGUUAUACUAAGCAGUGAUAGGAGAUCAUCACAUGGGUGUGAAGGAAAAUACAAUAACAACAAUGCAUUUGCGAAUAAGGACUUAGAGAGAAAUGUGCAUAUAAAAUAUAAUAAAACUUUAGGCUCAAUUGAGGGUUGUUCUUUGAGCCCACUUGUUUAGGCAUCAACUUAAGUUCAUUUCUUCUUUAUGGUCGCUUGAAGCUUAGUAAGAAGUUUUGUCCCACUUUGGAUGAAGAGAAGAAAAGAAAAAACCAAGAAAAAUGUAAAAGAUUCUCUAUUCUUAAUUUGUGGAGGAUUUGAUGUAUGUCAUGGUAUCACAAGGCUAAAUAUAGCUCAUGCAAUCGGAGUUAUGAGCAGCUUUUGCUUAAUCUUAGAAAGAAACACUAGAAGGUAGUGAAGUGAAUCUUCAAAUGCUUGAAAGAUAACUCAAGUGUGUGCUACUAUUUUGAAAGCUCAAACAAUCUUGGAAAGAUUUAUCAAUGAAGAUAUGACUGAUGAUACAAAUAGAAAGAGAUCAACAUUUGUUUAAUUGAUACCUUUGCAUGAAGGGCUAUUUCCAAACUAGCUAAGUUGUAGCAUCAUGAAUUGCCUUAUCCACAAUAAAAGCUAGGUAUAUAGAUGCAACUAAAGUAAUGAAGGAAAUCUUAUAGUUGAAGAGUUUUCUCCAAGAAUUGAGUUUGAAAUAAGAAAAGUAUGCAAUAUAUUGUGGUAGCCAAAAUGCUAUGCAUUUAAACAAGAGCUCUAUGUAUCAUUCUCACAUUAAGCACAUUGAUGUGAAAUAUCACACACUGAGAGAUAUAGUUGAAGAACUUCAAAAGGUCAUUCAACUAAAAAUAAUUCAUAUUUAUAAGAAUGUCUCAAAUAUUUUGGCAAAAGUGGUUUCUAAGCAAAAGCUUGGGAGGUAUUCUUCUAACGUGGGUUAAAAGGGGAGAUUUUUUGUUUAUUCCCUUAAUAAAGCUUGUGAGGCUAAAGUUCUUUUGGGCAACAACUUAAGCCCAUUUAUUGGCAUUUAAAAGCAAGUUGUAAAUGCUCUUGUUGAGAGAGAGAGAGAGAGAGAGAGAGAGAGGGGGGGGGGGGGGCGGAAGAGUAGUUGUUGCAAAUUUAAGGAGAAAAUAAAAUAAAAUUGAAGAAAGACAUUCUGUUAGAGUUGCUUCUAAGUACAAAAUGUUGUGUUGAUUGAUUAAUCUCACAACUCAUUUGUAAAGGUUUUUCUUUGAUAAAAUCCUUAUAUCACUCUUUUAUAUUAUUGAAAUGGAAGAUGUGGUUUUUCUAUUUCAAUCUAUAUAUUGACGUAUUCCACCAAACUUUAUCUCAUAGAAGUCUAGUGAGAUCCUUGUACUUCACCAUUUGAUAAUGAAAUAAAAAUUUCUCCAUGAUAUUUUACCUCCUUUAAAAGAAUUUUUCUAUAUUACAUUUAAUAACUCUUUUUUAAUAUUUUAAUUUAUUGUUAUUAUUGGUUUCUAAUUGCUUUUAUUGUUGGGUUACUUGUGAAAGUAAAGUUAUUAUUGUUAACCUAAGGGUUCUCCUAAUCACAUUUUCAUGACAAUAACCCAUGGUUAGUAUACUAAUGGUUUAAAAUAAAGAUAAGUUUUUAGAUUUUAAUUAAAAAAUUCAAUUGGAAUGACAAAAUACUCAUCAAGGGAUCAAAUGAUGCAAGUUUAAGAGAAUAUGAAAAUUGUUCAAACCUAUGAUUUAUUUGUAAGAUAAAUACACAGGUGCACCUAAGUUUGUCAUACUAAAUCAUGCAUCUUUAAAUACUCAGUUUAUACAUUAAAGAUACAUUUUCAUUAAAACAUGAGUAUUAUCAUACAAACUUUAGGCAAAUUGUUUUAAAAAUUGACUAUUGAUACUUAAAUACCAUGUUUAAGUGUUAGAAGUGAAAUAAAUAAAUAAAAGAUAGGUUUUCUUGCCAAAUAAGGUGAAUCAGUCAAGUGGAUUGACCAACUCGACCAAUUAAACGGUUAAGUUUUCUCAAUCAAGGGCAGAUGAAAAGAUGCAAAAAAAUCUUCUCUAUUUUCUAGUAGUUAUGCAUUCCUAGUCAGGGGUGAGACUUCUCUCAAUCGAAGGGUAGGUUUUCUCGAUCGAGACUCAAAGAUCACCUGUUAUACAUUUAAUACCCAACGGCUAGUCAAUCGGUCAAACCGAAACUCGACUAAAUGAGGUCUUUUUUUGUUAUUUUUUGUUCCUGAGACUAGAAACUUAUAAAUAGAAAGCUCAAUUUUAUUUAUGAAAAAGAGAACAUCUGCGAUCAAUUGUCCAACUACUUGUCCUUCAUUUAAAGCUCUCAUUUUCUUCUCUCUUUGGUUCAUUGUUUUGUCACUUGCAUAUCCUGUAGCGCACCAUUUCUUAUUCAUCUUAGCCUUUUUUGUGUAUUUGAACAUGUUAGAAAAAUUAGGCUAAUCCAACCUAUGGUAAUCAUCCUAAAGGGGAGGGGAGGGUGAAUAAGGUGAUGGUCCCUUUUUGCAAAUUUAAACUAUGUGAAUGUAAGAGACAAAUUAUAUGUAAGUAUAUAAUAAGUAAUAUAAAGACAAUUGCAUAUAAAUUAAAAGAAUAGAGAAGAGAGAAUGCAAACAUAAGAUUUUAUAGUAGUUCGGCGCAACCCGACCUACAUCCACUCUCCUAUACCUUUAAUCCCAAGUUUGAGGUUCCACUAAUUCAAGGCUUCCAAACCAAGCCUUCAAGCAAUACAAUUGGAUUAUGGUUCCAAUUCACCCUCUUGGAUUUUUGGCUCCAAGCACCCUUUACACUUCUCAAGAGAUAUCCCACUCUUGAACAACCUCUCAAGUGAUACCCCACACUUGAGAAACUUCCUCUCAAAUAUUUACAAACAAAUGAUCUCACAAAAUCCUAAUAUAAAAACUUUAAGCUCAAAUGAUACAAGAAAACUAGGAUUGAAUUAUGCACUAAAGAUAUACAAGUUUUAGAACAAUGGUGCACUAAAAAACACUCUUUCAAGGCUCAAAUAUAUUCAAGAAAGGUUUGGGAAGGUUAAACUUUUAAACAAUGAAGAUUAAAACAUUUUUAUAGAAGAGAAAAGUUAAACUAGUCGUUUGGGGGUUCGACCGGUCGAGUUAGGGGUUGACCAGUUGACUAGCCGUUAGCAUUUAAUGCUUGGCAGGUGAUUGUUGGGCCUUAACCGGACCUCAACCGGUUGAGGUUCAACUUUGACCAGUUGAACAACCGUUCUAGAAGAAAGAGAAAGUUUUUUACACACUCGACCGGUUGAGCUGGGGGUCUACUCAGACCUCGACCGGUUAAGUUGGGGGUUGACCCGGACCUCGACCGGUUGAGCUUGCAGUCGACCGGUUCCUCAUCCGAUUCAACCGAUUGAGCUGUUUUUUAGCUUAACAACCAACUUUUUCAACUUAAAACCUCUUAAAACAAGUUUGAAAAACAUUUAACACAGUUUUUAGUUGAAAACAUGAAAUCAUCCAAUUCUUAACAUAUUUAAAACAAAAUAACUAUUUGAUGAUUUUGGUGUAUAAGUAAAGAAUGUAAUGCAUGAAAAUCUUAAUGCACCAACAACCUUACAAAGAGAUCUUAUAAAGCUUAAGUCUUGAAAAACACUUCUCUUUGAGGUGGUCUUCUUCUUCAUGAUUUCUCCUUGGCUUGAUUUGUCUUUGUGAUUGCCACUUUGAAAAUUAUCUUGCCUAAUCACACUUGAAAUAUAAUCAUUAGUUAUAAACCUUGUUUUGUUAUCAUCAAAAUCAAGAUUAACCAAACCUUGGUUUCACAGAAUAUUUAUUGAGCUAGGAUGAGAGUUUGUUUCUGUAUUGUUUAAGUGAGAUUAUGAGCAUUGAAAGAUUUAAGUUAGUGAAUACUUGAAAGGAUUGUAUAAGCGUCCAUUGAAACUAGAUUCCAAGCAUAAAGACAUUAGAAGCUUGGUUGAAGUAUUAAAUGGAACCCUCACUCAAUUGGAGUUUAAGAAAAGUGGACGUAAGUAAAGGGUGUCGAACCACUAUAAAAUUUGUGUUUGCUCCUCUCACUUAAUCUCUUUACAUUUGUACCCUAUUUUGAUUAAAUUUGUAAUGAUUAGAAAAGUUUUUCAAAAACUCAAUUCACAAUCCUUCUUGGGUAAUUUUCCUAAUAAGAUUAGCCUUAAUUUCACACUUGCCAAUCAUACUUAACCUUCCUUCAUUGGUAUUUAUCCAUCUCCCACUCCCACCAUAAUAUUCUUCUCUAUUGGUAUGGAACUAUGCCUAACAAUACUUUCUUAAGAUCCAGUGAUUAUAUUUUACCUAAGUUCGCUUAGAAAAAAUACAUUUUGGAAGACAUUUCCAUUUAUCCUUAGUGUCAUUAUUUAUCAUUGUUUGACUUCUUCUUUUUUUUUUAAAAAAAAAAAAAACAUUACAUUUGAAUAUUGUUGAUAAAAAUUAUAUCUUAGAUUAUAAUUUUUUUUUUAAAAAAAAAAUUGUCUUUGUAAAGACUUCCUAUUCUCUUACCUCUAACAAUCCUAUUAUGGAUUUUAACUUUCUAUAAAACAAAAUGAGUUUAUCAUGAAUUAAAUAUUUCAACCAUGUUAUAAAUGGCCAUAGCAUUAUGAAUUCCUGGCCAUGUACUAUCAUCAUGCAAUUCUUCAUCAUGACUUGAAAGAACUAGAUAAGACAUGUUAUUCAUGUGGCAUUGAAUUGAUUCCUAAACCAAGGGAUCUCAAUUUUUUUCCAUGCCCUUUUCUUUAUAAUUUCUGAUAAGGAAGAGCGCUUCACUGCUUGGUUCCCAAGAAACAAACAACUCCUUUCUGGUUUCUAGAUAAUAGCCAUUACUUUUUACUCACCUUCUCUUUCAACUGUCCUCCCUAUCAAAGUUAUUAUUUAUUCCAUUAGUUUUUUUUCUUUUGUUAACAUCAAAUUCAACUGCUUUGAGAGUAAUUCAUUACUUGACCAACACAUCACGCCUUCUCUUUAAAAAUAAUCCCAUAAAUUCCUACAAAAAUUUUGGAAUGUCUAUUUUCCCAAAUUAAAAAUUCAUCAAGAGAUUAGCUUAUACUAACAACCAAACACCCUCAAAGGCCAAAAACCAACUGUAUAAAUACCUAACACUAACUGAAAAUUGAUUGUGCACAACGCAAACGACAGAGAUUUAGAGGGAUUUUUUCAAGGGAGAGAAAGAGAAUGAGUUUUCUUAGAGGGAGAUUAGCUGGAGCAGAGGGAGCAUACUUUUACCAGGAAACCAAACACGCCGUGGCCCGGCUCGUUCAGAACAACAGGAAUCUGCCAGUGUCGGCUUCCAAAGCGGCUUCAUCGGCGGAGCACGAAGGCCAAGCCGAUGUGCUUCCUGAGGUUCUGAGACACUCUCUGCCGUCGAAGAUCUUCCACCAACAGCCGUUGGAUUCGUCGCUCUCCAGUGCUUCGAAAUGGGUUCUUCACAGUGAUCCAAAAGCUACCUCCACUCCCUCUUCUAAUGAUAUGAACCCUCUUCGAGCUUAUCUUUCUCUGCCCCAGGUCACUUUUGGACCCAAAAGGUCGGUUUUUUUUUUCUUGUCCUGUUUGGUUGCUGAGAAAUUAGGGGGAAAAUUUAGGAAUGGAAAGAGGUUUUUUGAAAUUCUGGGACCCACAAAACAAAGAACCCUAUGCCCAACUGAGGCGCGAGGGCUUGCAUUUCCCUGCCCCAGGUCACUUUUGGACCCAAAGGGUCAGUCUUUUUCUGUUCGGUUGCUGAGGGAGUGCAGGAAAACGUAGGAAAAGAAGAUAAUUUGGGGUUUAUUAAAGUUGGGAUUUUCAAUCUUGGGACGUUAAGAAGGAAAAAAAAAAUACCCUUCAAUGAAAUCAAAUUAGUGCAAUAUUUGGAAUUCAGUAAUAUGUUUUUUUGCAGAGAAAUUGUAGGGGAUAUGAAAGAAGUUGGAAAUUGAAAUUUAGAUUUUCAAAUUGUAUUGAACUGACAAAGCAAGACACUUUGCUCACCUGAGGCAAAUAGAACUAUUUGUUUUAUUGAAAAUGAUUGGGGAUAAGGUAGCUUCUUCCUCCUUCAAGUUCAUGAAUUAUGCAAAUGCUCUUAGCUUUCCCAAGUAUGUCUGCCAUGAAAAGCAAGUUUUGUUGAAAGCAUCAUGAAGCAUACCAUGGGCAUAAAUAAACAGACCCAUUCAUGUUGGAUUAAGAAUAUUUGUUUUCUUUCAUCGUGCUAAUUUCAAUAAGCUAAUAUACUGUUACUGACAGAUGGCAAUUGCCUGAGCAAGGGAACUCGGUUUUAGCCUCCACAGCCAAUGAAUUGCGGCGUGACAGGUACAGCCAUGUUAAUCCUGAGAAAUUGAAGGCUGCAGCUGAAGGGCUUUCACAAAGUAUGUUUUAUUGAUCUUCAAAUCUUCUCUAAAUUUCACUUGAAUAAUGGCUCUUUAAUUUUGUGUCGUUGUAUCUUAAUUCUUACACCUGGUGUGUUGGUUUCUUCAAGUUGGAAAGGCAUUUGCUGUUGCUACUGUGGUUGUAUUUGGUGGUGCCACCUUGAUGUUUGGAGUGGCAGUCUCCAAGCUACAGGUGCACAAUGUAAGUAUGGAUUUGGCAUGCCUUUUGAUUCGUAAAUUCUCUCCACUACGUAGAUUCUUAUCUUGUUGUGAAUUAGUCAUUCUGAUGAGAAAGGGUGGUCUGCAAAUACAAACAUUUCCUAUUGUUUACCUUUUUAGUCUUCCACGUUGGUAAGCCCGGCAUACUGACUUUUACUAUUAUUAGGAAAAGAAUCAGUUCAUGAAACUAUUUGGUCCUCCAAAUUGUGGUUGUUCAUCGGAAUGUCUAUUCCAAUAAAAGACCAAGAUGCAAGGAAGGAAUUCUUCAAGCCUGGGUUAGAAAAUUAGUGUGAUUUGACAGAAUCUAGAAUUUUUUUUUUUCUUGGGGUUAACCUUUGAUACAUUCCAGAAGCCUAGUACAGGUUGAAAUAUUGAGAUGGGUAGAAAAGACAGAAAAGCUGAAUCAGAGUGAUGUAUGGUUUGAACAUAAAAGCACUAAAGAAGAGAAACUUGUUCAUUUGCAGAAAUGAGAUGUCUGUUCAACAAAUUCAAAAUAAUUGUGUUGGAAAAAUUCAUUAACAACCAGUAGUGCUGUGUAGCAUGUUAAAUUUACGACAACUUUAAUAUUUUUCGUAGUAGAGAUGAGACAAUCUCCAGGACUGUCUUCACUGGUACAUUUGUUCAGCCUCCUCAAGGAGAUUUAUUGUCCAUGUGCCACCCAUUUCUCUGUUUUAGCUUGACAAAUAUUGAAAUAGACAAGUUUCCUUAUCUUUUACUUCGACAGAGUGAUGACAUUCGAAUUAAAGGAAGAGAACUGGUUCAGCCAAAAUUUGACAUGCUCAGGGAGCAACUGAUUCCCAUGAGAAUUUGGGUACGCUAAAUCAGCAGAUCUAAACCUGACCAUGCUUUUUUUUUUUUUCCUUUAUCUUGCUUGCUAACUAAUUCAAAUCUGUCUAAUUUCAGGUUGAAAAUGUGUCAAAGAAAUGGCAUGUGGAAAGGGAGGAAGAUAUCAAAGAGAAACCUAUUAUAAAGGAGCUCACCAAGAUACUAGGGGCAAAGACAUCUAACUGAUAUCUUAUAAGGUAUGUACAUAAAAUUGAGUGUAUGCUUAUGGUUGUGGCCACAAAGCUGGAAACUGGAAAGUUGAAGAAAAUAAACAAAUCUCUAGUAUUGUAUACAUCAGUGAUUUGAUUGGCCAAUUUCUUUCAAUUUUUGAAAGAUUAGUCAAUAAAAAGGUGUAAAAUCAAAGAAAUUGUCCAAUACAAGCCAUUUCAAUUUAGCAUAUAUGCAGAUGUUUAUUUGGAUGUAUUGAUUCUCAUAGAUGAAGUUUUUUCUCUCUGAGUUCCCUUCCUAGUCUCGAGGUGAUAGAAACCCUGUGGAAACUGUGCAAUUAUACUGGUUUCUUCACUCCAUUUCCUCAUCCUUGGCUUUCAGUCAUCUUUGAGUGACUCUUCAUUGCUUGUAAUCUAAACCAGCUCCAUAUUUCCAAGCCUCAAGAUACCGCUUCCACUUGUACUUCAUCUUGGCCGGAAAUGCAUUUAUCAGUGGCCUUGCAGAAGAAAGUGUUAAAAGGCAUGUAAGCGAAGAAUGAGAUAAGAAAAUUUGUUGAAGAUUUAAUGGUUUAAUUAAGAGAAAAAACGAUACCCAGAAAGAUCGUUACCUAAUUGCAGGAUCAAUGAAGGUUGAGAGAAAUGUAUAGUAACCCAACAUGACAAAAUGUCCAGACCAGUCAAGCAGCACUGGAACACCAACCUUUGUUUAACAAAACACCAGAUGCUUGUAAAGAUGCAGGAAUGAAAAUUCACUACUUAAAACCAGAUUGUGAUUUACAUGUUCUAAUCUGCUCCAUUUUUCUAAGUACUCCCAGCUGUAAAUAUGGAUUUCAUUCAUAAAUUACCUGCUUGAAAAUUGAUGGAAGAAUUUGAGGUUUACUCAGCAUAACAAGGCCUAAUGUCUUGACAAGAGGCCCAAACUGUAUAACAUCCUGUAACAAUAGAGAGUUUCAAUGGAAGAUUGGCUCUAAAACUUAACCAAUUCAACAAAUCAAGUUGAAGUCAGGAACCAUGAAAAAAAAAACAGAAAAAAGAACCUGAAGAAAUGGCCUUAGUACUGGAUCACCUAGCCUCUGGUGAAGUUACACAUGAACUCAUUAGAGAAGAAAAGAAAAGAAAGGUGUAAGCAAGAGGGGCAGAAGCGAAGGGUCUCUGGGAUUGUUUGAAGCUACACAAGCCUACCUGCAUGCUCUGGAAAUUGACAUAAAGAAGCUCACUGAUGAAAUCAGGAGAAACAUCAUACUGUUGCUUUGCUGACAUUGCCCUUUGAAACAACCAUGCUGCACUAAGGUUGGGCUGCAUUGAACAAAUAUUCAUUGAGCUAAUUGUGUGGUAGAAGUUGCUAAAUCAAUUACAGAAAACACGAACCAUAUAUGGAUUCAGCAAAGACAAGUUGUAUGAGUCAAGAAAGUUGCCAGUGAUUGCUUCAUAUAUUCCUGGAUUUGCAGGCAAAGAAAGAUGUAAUAUUAGUAAUUUUCAUUAUCAAUAUCAAAGUAUCUGGGAGGAUGGAAACCCCCACAGAAAGAGAACUCAUUCUUUCUUUCCACAACAUUAUAACACAUGAUCCACCCUCUUUUUAAGGUGGGAUCAUCACAAAUGAAACAGAGGGGAAAAAAUAUGGAGCCACCACUGCUAUGAUUUCUUGAAAUCCUAAGGAAAUGAAUGUUUUAUAUAUGAAAAGAAAUAAAACUUGCUUCAAAUAACAGCAAUUCUGAGUUAUUACUCCCAAUAAUUAAUCGACGUUGUAAGAUUAGAAAACAAAGUAUACAAUGCUUCUCCGAUUUCAAAUUGAGAAUGUACCAGUUGACAACCUCUCAAGGUGCCUGGUCAAGCUCCCAAAACCACCAAAUGAAACUGGUGACUGUAUGCCGCUAGCAUCACCAAACUGCAGAGAAUGAUUUUGUAACACUUCCAUUCCAUUUGAUAUGUGACCAUUAUCUAUUGGAGGCUUUAGAAGUAUAUAAUGUAAAACACCUGUAAAAUGCGAUCAAAAGCUGCUGGCAAUGGACUAAGGCGACCCUCCCCCAUCGGAAAAGAAGGAUGCAUCAGAUUUUAAGCAUAUACAAAACAAAUCGUUUUAACCAGCGCUUGCAGUAUAUGUACUACUUGCAUUGUUACCUGUCACGAUAUGUAGGGAAAAUUCCAAAUACAACUCUCAGUAUCUGUAGAUCUUCCAAAGAGACUCCCUACAAAGUAUGAAAUGCCAAUGAUAUCAAUACGAGAGCCUCAGAAAAAAAGAGAAGAAUUAAAUAUACUGGCACUACUAUUUGGAAGUAUGAUUUUGAAAAAAUUUAUUGAGGAUGUCAUGGCAAUCUCAAAGGAUGGGGAAAAAAAAAGUGGAAAAGAGGUAAAAGGAUUUAGCAGAAGUUUUGAAGGAAGCAUUUAGAUAUGCUGAAGGGGAGCUUAGCCUUGCAUUCCGAAUAAAAGUAGUUUAAAGAUCUAAUGUCAUCUUGGCAUAACCAAAAGUGUAGAAGCAUGAUUUUAAGAAUAGACUAAGAUUCUUAAAAUUCGACCUGAUAUUCUGGCAUCAUAUCCCAGUAGUCUUCCAAUAAGUCUUCCAAUUUUGGGCAUUUUGGUUGAGGAUCAACAUAAGUAAACAUGUAAGUAGUUCGAUCCACGGGACCUGAGCCAGCUGGAAAUGCCUGUAAAUUUUUAGAGAAAGCUUAAUUAACAUAAGUAGAGAAUUUUCGAACUGAUGCCACUAGCAUUCUGGAAAAUCAAAUUACCUCCCAAAAAUAUUGUACUUCUGAUUCUCCAACCUUCUUGACUGAUGAACUACUGUAUAUGACAUCACUUGUUGAGUUAUUUGUAAAACCACGUGCACAAGAACCAACAACAAGGCAAACUCCAUCUGGCUUCCUUCCACCCCUCAUCUGUAAGAUAUUUUACAUUAACAAACGGUUUCGGACCAUGUGUAGACAUGCUUAUUUCCCAAGUAGGAUAAUCUUUGAUCUAACACUAGAUUAGUAAAGCAAAUGAGACUUCUUUACAAAUUUGUUCAUAUCACAAUCCUUAAGCUCAAAAUAAAGAUGGCUAAUGGCACAUACGCAAACGUGCACACACACACAUAUAUAUUUGUAUGUAUGUAUGUAUGUAUAUACAAUAUGUGUGUGUGUAACAAUUGCUUCAUCUUUCCUCAGCUUCAUUUUUCAACUAUCCUGUAUAUGCUUUGAUAUGGGAAGGAUAUGGCAGCGAUUAAUAAGCAUGAAUGCUAUGCACAAGAACAAAAAUUAGACCUGCUUUACCACAGGGGAAAAAUUCCCCAUAGCAUCGAUGAGAAGACGUGUUGACAAAAUAUUUCCUUCUGCUAGUUGCAAGACCUAUGGAAUAAGGUGAUAAGUAAUAGUCCAGUUAGUACCAAAAUGCAUUAAAUGAAGGCUGUUAAUUAAGCAUAUAUCUGUUUUCAAGAUGUUUGGUUCCAGUGCCAUUCUUGGAACCUUGACUUUCAGGGUUCAGGAAGGGGAAGGACAGUGAACAAGAUUGUAUUUUCUGGUAAUCAUCAUGAGGAAAUGUCUCAUGUAUUAAACUCAAGCAGACUACUGCCAUAUAACUCAGUAAGUGUCAUUUUUUUAUGGAAUUUAAAUUAAAGUGGAUCCCAUUACCUAUCUGUGUCAACUGUGUUCUUCUAUACAAGUUGUAUAGACUUUUAAAGUUUUUCUGUGUCGAAAAUAUCUUCCACUCAAGAUCGGCACUGGAAUUCAGCCAAUUACAUGACUUAAAAGGUAAAUGACAGACAUCAACCAAUUCAAAUGUCAAAAUUUUGCAAACAAUAGUAAGCUCACCGCUGCAUCCUCAUAUAUGCAUAUAUUAGACACGCUGUAACCCUCAAAGAUGACUCCUCCAAGGGAUGUAAAACGUCUCUUCACUACCUCUAUAAGCUUUACAGGUCUGUAGCAGUGAGAUGCAAAUCAGAAUAUGAAAUGAGCUGCAGAAGCCAAGUCUUUGCACGCGAGGAAUAUAUUUUACUAUCAUUUUGACUGGUAAAUAGUAUGUGAAGUAUGAUGCAUUUCAGCAUAGCAUUUGUCAGCUAAUAACAGUAUUCAUAAUGAACUAUAUUUUCCUAAAACUGAUAAUGCAAAUUCGGCAAAACAAUAUUUGCUUUCUGUUAAGUACAAUAUGACACAAUGAAACAGUAGAAAAAGAUGACUUACGAUACACCAAGAUUAAGAAUGUCUUCAACCCAAAUCUCGCCCUUCCCCUCAAAUCCACAUCUGUUCUGGGCAGUUCAUGAAAUGCCAAAGGAAAAUAUACAAAUAUGUAAGCUAGCAUCAGAAACAAAGAGACAAGUGAAUGCUUUGAUGGAGUUUGGCUUUUGAAAAGGACCUUUGAGCCCCAAAUCAUGGACCCAAUCCCUUUAGCAAACAUGGCCCUUGCAAUUUUGUUACUACAACUACUAUGUGAAGAAUUUGGACAAACCAAACUUUUGACCCAUCAACUUAUGUUGAAGGUUUUGGAACUCACAGGAUUAAAUUUCGCUGCUGUAACUUGUUUGAUAUCAUCUUCUACUAGAAUGCCAGCUUCUACAAGUUCCAAAAGUUCUUUCCUCGAGAUAUUCCAUUCCUGUUCCCUCUGAUCAUUGUCCAAAAAAAUAUACUAACAUCAUCUCACAGCACAGCUGGUUAUGUUCAUACCGCAAAACAUUUCUAGAAACGCCACAAGAUAGAAUCAUACCCCUUUUAGUAUGUUCCUCUCCACAACGCCUACUCGAAGACCUUUGGAACUCAAGGCUGUGGCAAUGAAGAUCCCCAAAGUACCUCCACAAACUAAAACAUCAAAUGUUUCCACUGCUUUGUCAUCCACAGCAGAAUGUUUGAACAAGCCAGGAACACUCGAGACUACUUUCCGGGGUUCUUGGUAAACUGCGAAUAAAUCAAAUUAGCCAUCAUUUUAUAUCAUGCAACCCUGGAUCCCCUAAGACAAUGAUGGGAAAUUGAAGUGAGUUCAUACAAACUCUACCUGUUUGAGCAGAGCAAAUGCUAGACCACAGCUGGUCCAGCCUCUUGAGGGCACUAUAAGAGUAUGCUCCACCAGCACCACCCACUUCCCCACUUACAGAUAUACUCUCCAUUAUCCUCUACAACAUUGAAAUAUUAACAGUUCUAUAUCAGUUGGCAUAAAAAGAAACACAAAAAGGGGAGGAAAAACAGUGUAAAACAGUCAAAAACUGGAAACUACUUCGAUGAAAUUGAAAACCCUCGAGAUAUAAUUUCCCCCAGCCACACAACACCAUGCCAAUGGAGCUAAAUCCAGCCCAAAAUCCUUUUCCUUUCCCAAAUCAUAUUUCCAGGAAAUGAAGGAAGCCCAGAGUUAUUAUUCUCCAUGGAAAUUUUCUAGCAACCAUUUUGAGUGGAACCAGAGAGAGUUGAAGAAAAAGGGUACCUGGGUUCUGGAGGGAAGGGCUUGUGUCUGCAAGCACACGGUCCUGAGAGCUCUCUGCCUUCUUCUCUGCAGUGAUGGGCCCUGGGAGAUGCCAUAAUUGGGUUGUUGAAGCUGAAGUACCACCAUGGCGGUGGUGCCUUAACUUGGUCCAAAUUCUCUGAAAAUUUUCUCACUUUCUCUCAUUUGCUUUUCAAUUUAUCAUUGGAACUCAAAAGUGCAGGUGAAAUAUGGGUACCAGCAGCUGACACGUCAAGCACCCAGAAUUUUGGGGAAAGUUCCCUAAAAAGAUUGCCUUACCUGAAAUGACUACAUUUAAAAAAAUAUAUAUUAUUUUAUUUGAAAAUAAAAUUUUGAUUUCAAUUAAGGAAUCUUAACAUACUUUAAGAAUAAUCCUUAACAAAUUUUUAUUUUUAAGAAUAAAAAUAUUCAUUAUUAUUAUUUUCAAAAGCAUCAUUCUCGCAUUUUAAAAUAAAAAAUUAUUGUUAAUAUUUAUUAUUUUUAUUUUCAAAGUAAAAAAGGAAAAAAAAAAUUGACAGUUUUAAAAGGGCGAAACGGGUGACAGUGUUAUAGGGUCACAGGUGGGUGAGUCAAUCAGGGCUCUUUAAGAUAAACCCUCCUCCAGGGUUUUAGAGCUGCUGCUCUACAGGUGGAAUUUUUUCUUUCUGCUGUUUGGUUGCUGAGAAAGUGCUGGUAAAAAAGGGUGCGUUUGGAUAAUCGUGUUUGGGGUUACUAGGCUACUCUCGACCCUGGAAGUUGCCUCAAUCUCAUUUCUCUCACGUAUCGCGGUAUAGGUACGACGAUCUCUCUCCUCUCUUCUUGAUGAUGACUUCUGCCUCCAAACCCUAACCAUAAAUGUAACUAAUUUUUGCAGACACUUCUAUUUUUGUAUAUGCUCGACUAACCCAAAAGAUCAAUUUUUUUUUUUUUGGCUCAGUUGAGUAAAGAGUUGUCUUUUGGGUUCCCAAAUAAUGAAAAGUAGACUCAAAUUUUAAAUUUCCUUCAAUUUUCUUUUCUUUUUCCUGCAUUUUCUCGGAAAAUCUUUUGAACUUUAGCCGGAGAGUUUGUGAUUGUCUAUCAUUUUUUUUUUUUUAUUUAGUUAGAAUGCGGGAAUGCUUUGCAAGAAUAUGUGAGGUCGUCUUGAAGUUAUGUAGAAUGGUGGAGUGAUAGAAAAUUGAAAUUGUGAUGAGACACUUGAAAGGACGUGAAAAAAUGGCAAAUACUAAUCAUCAGAUCUGAUGAAAGCAUUACCCACAAAGCCAUUGUGUUUGUAUAUAAAAUUAACCUCAUAUGGGAUUUUGUGGGCAUGAAGAAAUCCAAUUUUCUGAGAUAUGGUUGAGGAUGGGGGCCAUGCUGUCGUGUGUCACCAUUUGCAUAAUCUUUAAUCGUUUGAUGAAAAUCCUAAUGGCAAAGGCACAAGACAAAACAAUUGAUAAAUUAGAAGUCUAAUGACCCUUGAGGAAAGAAGGAAAGAUAUGGGAAAAGGAUGAAUGAUUAGAGGUGAUGUAGAUAAACCUUGAGAUGUUCUCACAUAGAGAAUUCUCCUUCUGACCCAAGCCUAGCCAUCUGGCAUUUGCUCAAAUCAGCUCAGCUGCAUGAAACAACACCUACUAUUGGCUAUACGAGUCUUUCAUUAUUGCUCAACUCUUUCAAUCUGAAUGAUUCACAUUGCUUAAGCAUUAUAAAAGGUGUCAGGUCCAACCUGGGUACCUUGUACUUCUAAGUGCAUGAUAUAUCAAACAAAGUGCGUGUGAGCUGUGCAGAUAUACUAGAAAGUCUGGAGGAGUAAAGAACUGAUGAUAUUACUUCGAUGAUUGAAGUUCCCAUCAGAAAAGAGUUUCAAACAUUGCCCUUUUUCCACAUGAUAUGGUCAUUAUGUUGGAUAUAAACGCCAUGUUGGCAUGCUUAAAUGAUUGCAUUAUCAUUUAUCCACUAUCAUGGCACGAAUAGGAGAUGCACUUGUACUCAAUUUAUGUGUUGUAAGAUAUAUAGUGUUGGUCCAUGGAGAUCAAUUAUUUUAUGCAUAGUGUUGAUUUGUGUUGUAAGCUCUCUAAUGUUGUGGAAACAACUUUUAUCAUUUUGAGCAGGCAAUAUAAGUAAUAAAAGGGGAAAUUGUGUAAGUAUGGCAAGCAUGUUCAUGGCACCUACCUUCAGUCUUCUUUCCGUCAAUAGAAGCAGCAGUGGAUGCAGAAAGCCAGACUGCACUCCUAGGCAGUAUCAUGCUAUAACAAUGAGGAUAGAGAAACCUCUGGAGGAGUUAUACAAUGUGAGGGUGGAAAGGCAAGUGUCACCAAAGCGACUGGAAGAGCUGGGGGUUUCACGAUGGUCGAUAUGGAAGACUGGCAAAUCUAGGUUGCCUUGGGAUUGGCAUGUGGACCAGUUGGUUUACAUUGAGGAAGGGGAGGUGAGGGUUGUGCCUGACGGAAGCAAAAAAUACAUGCAAUUUGUGGCAGGAGACCUUGUUCGCUAUCCCAAGUGGUUUGAGGCUGACCUCUUCUUCAAUGGUCCCUACCAGGAGCGCUACCGCUUCCGAGCAUAUGGGGAUGACUAGUAAUUCUGCAUUACAUUUUUUCUGAAAGUUUGUUUUGGGUUCUGAUAUCCUCUCUUCUCCUUUUUUAAUCUUGGGUUCCUCUAGAGAGAUACACACUCCCCUGUGAACUUAAGACCAGUUUUCUGAUGUAUAAGUGUAUCAAUUUUAGUUGCGGCCCAAGUGAAUAGAAAUGAAUCAGAAGUUAAUGUACACUUUGAUUAUGCAUUUUUUGUUUAAACCAAUUCUCUCCAUCAUAGUUUUGAUAGCUGCUGCUAUUACCAGUACUCGCAGGGGAACAAUGUUAAUUGUUGAGCUAUACCAUUUUCCUCGUGCCAAAAUCCACUCUCCAUGAAAUAAAUGUCAACAGCUAGAUGAACUCUCAGCAGAAAUCCAGGACACUGAAUUUGAGAAUAGAAGCAUAACUACAGAUUAAUUUAGUCUUGCUGCUGCAAGGCAGGAUCAUGCUGGUUUGUUGAUGAUUGGGGCAUGAAGAAAGCUUUCAACAUGCAUUUUUCCGAUCUUAUUGUUAAGUCCCAUGGUUUGUCCCUUCCCUGAGAUGCCAUUUAAAUGAUUCCCAAGUACUUUUUCUGAGAAAACUUUCAUUCUACUACAAAAUAGAGGCUUCAAGUGAGGCUUUUAGUUUGGGGGGGUCAGACAGCAAAUCAAGGCUAGCCAAGAAAGUUUGUCAAAUUAGUUCAAAAGAUCCUCCACACCAAUUGGGAAUAUAAGUAACGCAAAACGAAUGAGAGCCUCUGUGCCUAUUUUGGAAAUGGUGAGAGUUAGGAAAUCACCUGAGAGAAAGUAACUUCUGAAAGCAUUGUUAAACUAGAUGAAGGCACAACAGAAUAAUACAGCAAUGAUCUACCAGACAAUGAACGGCCAAGAAAAGCUGAGCUGCAGCAACCAGGCAAUCACCCCAAUAUCACAGCAAUGAAUCAACCGCCAGAGGAAGUUUCAACUCAGGGAAAGGUGUGAUGGGCAUAUCUUAUAGCUAUAAACAGAAAAACAAACACGAAAAAUAAAUGGAAAGAAAUGAAAGGAAUAAGAAUCACAACUAAAAGUACAAAGGGAACAAUCUUUUUGCAUCAUUACACAAAAUAAACAUUAUCAGGUAGGAAAUCCGGAGCAGCACUACCUCUAUAAACCAAAUCCCUUAUGAUACACACACUUACACCUCCAUUGAUAAAGAGGAAAAAGGGAAUGAGCCCACGAGAACCAAAGGAGUAGAAAGAAAAAAAAAAAAGGAAAGAAAAGAAAAGAAAAGCCACUUCAAUAUCCACAUAACCCCACCUUCACUUUUCAAAUUUGACAGGUGGAGUUAAACCUAUAAGAACCCAAGGGAAGCAAGGUUAACAAUGGCUAUACCGCACCCAUUGGGUCUCACCCUGUAUCCUUCAACUACGACUUACAGGGUAAAUUCUCACAAUUUGCUCAAGCAGCAGCCAUCAAGCACCUGCAGUAGUUCGAGGAUUUGUGCUGGUAGAAAUGGCAACAGAAGAAACAAACUUCGAAACAAGCACAGCCUCGUUGCUUACAGCCUUGGAGGCUGCCAAAUCUUCCAAACGCUUCCAGGUUGAUUCCCGCUUCUCCUGUAUCUCCCUUUCCUUGGCUUCAUCCUCUUGAAAUUUGACCAAGCAUUCAUCAAGUAGCACCUGGUCUUGAUCUGAGAAUAUCUUUCUCACAUUCAGUGUCAGGCUUUGCACAGCUUGGUUCCAGUGACUCCUUGCGUUCCUCUCCAAAGCUGGGAAGAUUAUAGGCAGUAUCACCAUACAGUUCUGUGUGAUCAAAUUCCUUAUAUGGUCAUUGUUCCACAGGAACAAUGCACGUUCAGCUACCUGCAGUUGAAACCAUGUCCAAGCCAGGUCUUUCUCAGUGUAAUUGGAGGAAUUCAAAGUUCAUUCAUUUAGAUGUAUCUGAUGGAAAUGUUUCUAACAAAAAUUUAUACAAAAAGAUCAACACAAACUGAGGUCACAAAGACGCCUCUGUAAUCAAUGAGAUGAUUGUUUACCCUAGCAUUACUAUCUUCCCCAACUUGUUUACAUAGCAUUACUAUCUUGUGAUUUUUCUUCCCCAAAAUUACUUGCAUCUCUUAAGGAAUUGAACGGUAAACAUUUCCAUUAUAGUCCUGAACUCUGCCUUGACUAUUCAGUAUCGACAAGAUGCAGGUGAUUUUGAAAUAUAUAUGUAUAUAUCCGCAAGGAAACAUGGGAAUUCAUUGUCAGGGUCAGUACUCCUCAACCACUUUAGCAAUGACCAUAAUCAAAACAAUUGCCUCUUUAAUGUCCAAAAUACCUCCUCAUCCAUAUAAAAUGAUAAAACCCUAAUAUCAGCUUUCCUUCAUUUCUAUGUUUUUACCUAAUGGAUAAUACCAUCCCCACAUGCCAUGAGAAUAAGCACACUAAUGAUGAAUAGAACAGCCUUUCAAAUUUUUUCUAGGAUUUAUGAUUGAUGAUCCAGGAGGCAUUAUCUGAUAUCACAUUGUCACAUAACAGAAUCCUUACCAACCUUAGCUUAUAAAUAUGAGGUACAAAGCCAACAAAGUAAAGGGUAUUAUUCAGGAAAGGCCUUGAACUUUGUAAUGGCAAGAUUCACCAAACAUUUAUUGUUGCAAAAGAAUGUUUUAGGGCCAGUAUAUAUAAGGCAACCCAUUAGAGGAACCCAAUAAUUCAUACUUCUCUGCCCUGUCCAAACGGUCACUUAGCUACAGUAUAUGUUGUGUGAAGUCAUGCCAUUAGAAAGCUCAAGCCUCCUAAUUGACACCCUUGCUCCUAUAGUUACAUCAUUCUUGGGUUAGAUAGUUUCUCAGACUCAUGAAAAAGUUGGUAAAGAUUGCAUAUAGGAAAUAAUUGGAUUUUCCAAAACGGUUUGCUUUAAAGUUUAACCGUACUUGCUUGGCUUGAAUACUUAAAAAAGCAUCAGAAACAGUAGUUGGUACUUCAUCACUGAUUGUUCAUCAAUGGCAUGUAUGGAUGGAGCUGUGUGUUGGGUGGCAAACAUAGAGAGAGAAUUUAUCAUUUCAUAUGAUCAUUAGCUAUUUUAGGAGAGAAACCACCAAUUUUCCCUUUAAGGAGUGGUAUACUGCCAUACAGCCUCUCCCCCCAGCCCAAAUAGACAAGAAGACAAUAUUCUGAUUAUUCAUGAAAUCCAUCACAACUCAAGAAGGAAAAAGGGGAAUAUGCAAAUGGCAAAUGACUGUAACCUUUUGCAAAAACCACAAUAAAAACACAGAGGAUCUUGAAGAUAUAGUUGGCACCUGGUAAAGCUUCACACCAACUUUAAAUCUGAAUAAGUUAUUGGUCCAACUUUUAUAUGAUAUAUGCAUUAUAAUCAGUAAAAAUAAUCUUAUUGGCAACAAUCAAGAAAUACCCUCUCUAUUAGCAUUCCUAGAUGCAGCUCUUUUACAAGAGGAAAAAAAUCAGUGGCGAUAUUGUUAGUUAUUAAUACUAGUUUCAAUGAAACACAAAUAAAGGGUCAUACAUCUAAAGAUUAUAGAUAAUUUACCCAUCGCAUUCCAUCAGUUAACUAAGUACUCAAAAGGAAUAAGCUAAUGACAUCUUUUCUAGAAUAAUAUUUGUACACAAACUGGACUAAGACCUAGGAACAAGAUAAAAAUAAAAUGCCAGGAUACUAGAUUUCAAGACAGCAAUUGGACAAGAUCUUGGUUGAAAUAUAAGAAGAAAAUGCAUAUAGAAUUAACAAUUUCUUUCAAGCAAAGUGUCCAUGUAAGACAUCUAGCUCAUGGAAAGGCAUUCUCAAAAACAACAAUAUUUCAAUAAUUGAGACAGGUUUUUAAAGAGGAAAAAUAUGUGACAGUCCAUCUCAUGCAUCCAAGCACAUUAAGCUAGGGAGCAACAGAGGUUGGAACCUUAAAUAGGAUAAUUUGUCAAACAAUAUAAGCAUGAAAAACAGAGAACUUCCAAGUUAAUGAUUGAUGAUAUAUUGAUGAAAUAAAAAGCACUCCAAUUCAAAGAAAACUUUGAAAAUAAAUCUCGUUCAGGAUGUAGAUGCUUAAAGAGCUUUAUAUUUCCCAACCAAAUAAAAGCAUUCCUUUGCAAGUUAGUGGAGAAUGUCUUUCUAUUAGAUAUUCUACUAAGGAGAGACAAAAUCCCAAAAUAUGUGGUUUCUGUAAAAGAAUAUCCUGAAGUUCUCACUCUUAUAUUCAAGCAAUUCAGUUUGACGAGUAUUUGGAGCAAAAUAAUAUAGGAGCAAAAUCCAAGCAAAGUACUCAACCACCUCAGUUUUGGAAGGCAAAUGAUAUAAUGGAUCAAAAAUCUUUAAAUAUGCAAUUAUUCUCAUCACUCUAAAGAGCAUAGGAGAAGGGAUCUAUAUUUGAAUAAUUAAAAAAUAGAAAUCAAGUAUGGUUUAUUUAAAGAAAUUUUAGUUCCUAACAUAGUCAUGAAAAUAUUGAAGGAAUUUUUUUAGUACAUAUGAAUUUAUAGAUAAAAUGAUCUCUGAUCUUUCAUCUUGACAUUCAACAAAAUCAAAGAAAUAGCCGACACCCAAUGAAAACCUCCUUGUUAUCUGUUCUACUUAUCUUCAACAGCUUAGUGAAAUAAGACAAAUUGAAGUUAUCAACAGAGAGCGUCUUCCUUUCUUUCUUUUUUUCGAUAGGGUAACGACAGAGAGCACCAUAAGAAAUACACAUGGACAAACACAAUUAUAGAACUAAUAAAUUUAGGAAGCAACUUUCUUCAAAUGGAUAAUAAAAGUUAUUGGAGCAAAAUUUGUCCUACAUUGAGAAAAUCUUGUCAUAUAUCAUUGUCCAUUUGGCUAUAAAUGGCCUUAAACAUGACACAACAGACAAAGUUCCUAGGAAGAACUACCUAUAGAACUGCAAACCACAAAACCUUAAUAUAUAUAUAUAUAAGAGUUACAAACAAAAUGCAAAAGGAAACAAAACAAAGAGCAAACAGAUGAAGGGAAAUAUGAGUGGUAACCUUAAUGCUGAUACUAAUGUAUAUGCCCAAUGAAAACAUACAGAAAACAAAGAAUCUGAAUCCAGUACCUGAAAAUGUGAGCUAUUGAGGCACCGACCAAUCUGCCGGAAAAGAGGGACCAUGCAGCGCUGAAACUCUGCUGGCUGAGUGGCUUCUAGAACUUCUUCCAAUUCACCAAGAAACAUAACCUCCUUUGAACUAUUAGUUAUGGGCCAAUACUUCAAAAGGCCUCGAAUCACUGUAUCAGCCAGCUUAAAGUCUUUCUCCACAAACUGAGUGAUGCAAUACGAAAGUUGCUGAUGAUACAUUGACACACACUUGGGUUUGUGGAGGGGAAUCAAUGCACGAACAAGGAACAGCUUGUGCUCUUCCUUCAAAGGCAAUGCAAACCCAUUAAUUAUACUGCCCAAUAUCUCAAGCAAUUCUGCAAUCCCAUUGUGCUUCUCAGUCUCAAAGAUGAACCUGUAGAAUAUGUUGUUGAUAGCUUUCCUUAUGAAGGGUCGAUGCACCAUGAACUUGCCGUAAAUUCUGUGAAGUAUUGUUUUUAGAUACUCUCUCUCCCUCUGGUCCUCGGAGUCAAAUAGGUCAAGCAGUCUCAAUACAAACGAAUGAUCAACAUAUCUUUUGGCAAGCUUCGCAUCAGUCUCUGAUGAAGCUACAAAUCUAAGUAGAAAUUCAUACACAAUUUGAAGAUGGGGCCACGCAGGCUCCAUAGUAGGUUCCUCCUCUUCUGGGUCAUACAUUUCUGGGGUCUUAUUAUCAUGAUUGGAGGACGAGAACGUUCUAAACAAAUUCAAUGCCACCAUCUUUGUAAUCUCCUGCAUUGCCGUUUCAUUGAAUUUCGAACUCACUGAUGAAAUAUAAUCAACAAGCUCAAGCAAAGUUUGCCGCUUUAUAUCUUUCUCUUUAGGAUUCUUCGAUGGAUCAUUGAAAUCAAACACAACGCAACACAAAUUCAACUUCCUAAUGAAAAGAUUGGGCUUCUCCGGGUUGGGAACGUCCCGAAAACUCGGCAAGGCCUCAUAUGCUGCAGAAGCUAACACCGGUCCGACAGUAGCGACGGCGGCUGAUUUCUUCCCGUGAUUCGUCUUACCGGAAUUUGAGGAAUGCGGCGCCAGUGUCCCAUUGUUCGACCGAGAAGCACUGGCACUCGAAUUCGAAGAUUUCGCAGAACCCGAAUUAGCUUUAUGACCAGGACCCAUUGAAUUCGAAUUGGGUCCCUGAGAUGAAUUCACAGGGGCGACCGCACCGUCAUGAUUAGAGUCAUUGUGCGAUGAUUUCGAGGAUGGUUUCCGAGGUAGCUUACCCAGUAACUGUUUAAUCAUAUUCACAAACCCUAAACCUAACCCUAACCCUAACGCUAAACCCAACAAGAGCCCAACUUUCCGCCUCUAAAUGCGUCCUAGCACAUAAACAUUACCCCAAACAAUUCAACAGAAAAACCCAAUACAAGAGAACUGAGAAUUCGCGUCCCUGCAGAAACCCUAAUUACCAGCUCAUACCUUCACAUUGACGAGAGGGAAUUGAAAGAUCUAAAAGCAAAUGAAGAAGACCCAGAAACAAAAAAACCCAGAAAACCCUAGAAAAACCCUAUAGAUGAUAUGUGAACUAAUAAACCCCACUGAUCUGAACUUGAAGAGCCCUAUAGUAUGUAGAAUCAAUGGAUGCUUGAUAGAGAGAGAGAGGGGGGGGAGAGAGAAAGAGAGAUAGGGGAAAUUGGAAAAUAAGAAAAAUAUAAAAAAUAACAAAGCCCCCUCUCCCUAUAUCUCAAAUAUCUAAUCUAUCUUUGUUUGGCAAGUUUGCAUGCUAAGAAGGGAUUUAGAGUUUAGAAUUUGGAUUUUGGAGAUGGGAAAAUAUUGAAUUUUGGGGAUUUGAAUAUUAAAUAGAAGAAAAAUAGGAGGUAAAACUGAAAAAAUUGUUAUGAAAUAAGGGUGGAGAGAGAGGAGAGGUUGGAUGUUUGGCCACUCAUGAAGGGUAUAGGGCUAAGUUGUCAAUUUACCUCCAUAACCAUUUUGUUAGGGUUGUUUGACCCAUUUGUUUAGGGUAUGUGGCCUGGCUGAACUGUCAAUGGACUUCUCCACCUGUCCCAACCAUUAGGCCAAUUAAGAUGGUUUUAUUUAGAGUUUUUUUUAUUUUUUUGUUCUAUUUUUUGAUAAAAAAUUUAUUUAGGGUUAGAUUAUGGUACUAAAAGAUAUCCUUCAACAAUAGAUUAUAUCUUAUCAUGUGUAUUUAAAGCUUAUUAUUUUAUAUCUGUGAUCUGAUUUAUUUAUAUUUCAAUAUCAUUUUUUUCAUAUACUUUUAAAGAUAAAGAUUGAAAUUUGAUAAAUACAUUAUUAGCUUUUUCCUUAAAUAUAAAAUAACCUUUAUAUACAACCUUUUUUUUUAAAAAUAAUAAUAUUUUUAUAUUAAAUUUUUAAAUUUAUAUAUCUUUUAAUAAAAAUAUUCAAAUAGAUUUAAAAACUUUCAUGAAUUUAAAUAAGAGUUUUUAACCUUAAAGGAAUCAAUUAUUUUAUUAAUAUAUAGUGAAUAAGAACUUGUUUGAAAAUUUUUCUUAAAAAAUAUAAAAUAAUUUAUUUGCUUUUUUCCUUUUCUAUACUUGAGGAAGUUUUGAAAUCCCAUGCUAAUGCUUCAAUGUGGGUACCAUGUGUUGAAGAUAAUCAUGAUUCCUAUGUUACUUGGUUGGCCCAUAUUCCUUUGAAUCCACUUCUAAUAUGCAGCCUGAUAUUUUUAUUAUUAUUUUUUUUUUUUUUAUCAAUUGUAUGUCUUUUGGGGUUGGGGUUGUGGGUUGCCACACCUUGAAGGAGCAGGGCAAGGUAUACCUUGACACAAAUUCCAACAUGGAGAUGGAGACACUCCAUGAAUUGGGUUGAAGAGAAAGGGAAAAGGGUAGACAAAAUUCAAAAAAUUAUUUUUGAAUUUUUGUGAUUCAAGAUGCGAGUACAAACCACAACCCUUUAUAAAUUUUGGUCACCAUAAAUAUUUUUUGGUCAAAGUUUCUCAUACCAAGUGCCAUGGUUUCAACUUUCUUGAAAUGAUCAAAAUUCCUAAAGAUAUGAUCAUUCCCAUGAAGAAAACCCAUGUAUGAAUGCACUUUUUUUCUUGCAUUCCAUAGACCACUUUUUCAUUUUCCUUGUUCAUCAAGAUGAAUUUCUUAUGACAACUGAAAAUUCUCUUUUAUUUAAAUGGUCUCCCAAAUAGGAUUAAAAAUAAUCUCAUUUCUUUGUGCCAAAGACCAUUCCAUUAUAAUUAAUUCUAUUUCUUUGUACUAAGAUUUCUUUUUCUUUUUUUAGAUUCAUUAAUUUAGAUUUAAACAUACACAUCGAUAGCCCAACAAAAUCGAAUUCCUAGUUCGAUGAUUUCAAAUUCGAUAUAAUAUUAAACCUAAAGCUCAAAAUUACGAUUAAUAUGAUUACGAGUGUCAAUAUUUGAUACAAUUCGUCAAUACAACUCAAACCCAUUGGACAUGUUAUUCACAAGUUUGGAUUGAAAAUAAUCAUAUUUGAAUCAAAUUUGUGCCUACUUCCAAAAUUCAUUUAAUAAAUAGGUUAUUUUUGCCGCCUAUUUGAUAAUACCAUUAAUUAACCUAAAUAUAGCUACAAGUCAUUUAAAUCAUAUUUGACUCGCUUAAAAUUUGAUUUAAUAAAUGAAUUAAUUAAAUAAUAAACAAAUCGGGUUAAAGGGUUCAUCAUAUUGACUUAAACAAGAUCUAACUCGACCUAUUUAAUCGUAUCAUGAUUUUAACCACCUAAUUAUUAUUCAUAUCGUGUUUGAAUUAACCCAUUUAAAUGAAUAGGUAUAGCAAAACACAAAAACAACCCACCAACACGAAUUACUACCCUUACAUAUAAUACAAUGAAUUCAUAAGAGAAAACAAAAUAGAUUCAAGUGAGUGGCUCCAAGAGAAGACAACCCUUUUCCCAUGACCAUGACUUGUGUAGCCAAUUUCUUUACCCUGUAGCAUGGCUUCUUUUUCUUUUUUACUUUUUUUUUUUCUUGAUAGGCAUACUUGGUAACAUGGCUUCUCAACUCCAACAUUCCAGGCUAUUAUUCUACUUUGUCAACCAUGCUUAAUAUUAGUCAAUGGAAUGUUAAAGCAUCUACAAAAAUUUGACCAAUUUAAAGGCAAUGAAUUGAAACCAUUGAAAACGGCUCUUCACUAAAACUUCUGAGAAAGGAUAGGCCUACUUUUACUCAGCAUCACUCAUUAUUGAUGAGAAAAAGAGGAAGAGAGAAGCACAGAUGCCAAGAGCUAGGGCUUUGGAAAAUACCAAGGUACCACAUUGCUACAAUUCCAGACAAUGAUAAUCAAAUUUCAAACAGGUAUAAAGAAAUAAGACUAAAAUAUAAAGAAAUAAAACCAUAAUAUAAAUAAAUGAGAACAAGAUACCAACAAAUAAAACCUAAAUUUUAUUACUGUGAUUGGCUCGCUUGUAUGGUAUCAACAAGUAACUUUUCGUACCAUAGGAUGGCAGUAGGGCUUUUAUUCCCAUUUUUUAUCUGGGUUUGUUUUGUUUGGCUCCAAGUAGAAUUUGAUGCCGGUGUCCAAAGUAACAGUACCUAAGGUUCUGAACCCAUAAAACUCUUAAUGUAUUUUACAAACAGAGAGGAUAAACCAACCCCAGAGAUGAAAAUUAUCCACACCCUGAAGCUAGACCAGUCUACCGGAUUAGACCUAGAAAUAUGAACUAUCGUCCUAGCAUAUAUGAUUUCUUAGAAUUGAAAGAGCCUUAAACACAAGACACAUAAAUGACAUAAUGCAUUCCUGUUCAUCAGAAAGUACAAAAACCCGUUGUGAGUAUCUUUGAAUAUGUAGGGUGAUAUUCCAGCUGAUGGGAGAUACUAGGGCAUAAGUGUAUCUUCACAAAACAAAGCAACUUGUAAGAAUAGAGCUUUGGAAGCAACAUUUCACAUGGGAAAAAAAAAAUGGGUUUCUGCCAUUAUCCUAGCAGAGAGGGGGUUCCAACAGAAUCUAAUUCCACCAGUGAAAUCAGCAGAUGAAUUAGUUACUUGAAUUUAAACCCACCUGUUUUCUUGAACAAGUUGUCUCAGGUGAAAUGUACCAUUACAGCAGGAGGUCUCAAAAGACCCAAUAAGGAAUAAUAUCCACAAUUCAAUGAGCUUCCCUUCAAUUGGGAUUCACACUAGUUUCCACAAAAAACUGCACAGAACUUGCACAAGGAUGUUUAAAAGCCUAUCCCCACAAGUACAGAAAGAGAACAAAGCAGCAUUCCUAGAAGCUCCCAUCAUAUGCAACCAUACAAGUUGAACCAGGAAAAGCUCUGGAAAACAAGAAAUGAUCUAUUCACAUUGACAACCACAUUGAGGAUCUGAAAAUAUGAAGGUAUAUUGUGGAAUUGAUUUUUAAAAUGGUAGAGAUAAAGUGAAUCAAGUCCUUGUGGAUAAAGAUUUCAGAGAAAUAUAUAUUAAACCCGAUAGAUAUUCGGAAACUAGAUUGGCAGAUAGCCAACAACAUGGCUGUAAAACCAUCUUGCAGGGCACCAAAAACCCCUCCCCCUCCUAAGAAACAAAAAUAUAAAUAAGAGGAAAAGGCUAUUGUGACAUCACAUGCAGCAAUAGAACCUGGGGGGGAAGAGAGAGAGAGAGAAAACGAAGAGCAGAUAGCCACAAGUCUGAGUUGUCUCCUACCAUUUGAAGUUUGAUGUGAUUUCAUGGGUUCUGGAUUAAGAUUAGGAUUACUCCACCUUUUUGCACAGAUUGUACUCACAAGGACAACACAGAUUACAAAGUCAUCUCCUAAUCCUAGCACACAUACAGAUUUAUAUAUGAAGUCAAACAUGGCAAAUUUAGAAAAGCCUCUGGCUUGUGCGAGCACAGUAUCUUCUCUGCACUGUACAAUUCCACAACACAACGAUAACAACAAUUGUGGAGCUAAUGUGCAAGAAAUUGAGUACCUCCUCAUUAUGCAUCGACCAUCAGUCAUCUCUUCCUGCGCUUUGGUUCCACCUAGCAUAGAGUGAAGGACAAGAACCAAUUACAAAAAAGUGAAAUGGUAAAGAUGGAAGCAACACGGACAAUGUUAAAAUGAUGAGCAUUGUAAGAACAGUUAAAAGAAUGUGCUUGUACAAGUAGUAUUUAGAUACCCCAACAAAAUGAAAUAGUUCUAUUGUGUUUUAUACAAGUUCAGUAAAACAUUUUACUUCUCGCAUCCCUGCUUGCAGAACAUUAGCAUGGCUCAAUUUUCCAGUGUUAGCUAUAUAGUUCCUGGUCCUAGAUUGGAUCCAUAGCAACAGUAAUUUCCACUUUUAAGUAUCAACACUGAUCAUCAUCAUAAGUAUACAAACACUACGAACCUACAAAAAAAGGAAGUGAUGAAAAUGGAAUACCAACAUGAGCAUGAAACCAUUUAUUUGACUAGAAAGUUAUAAAGAAAACUAGCUCAAAUUGUUUCUAGGUAAUUCUUUUACACAAUCUAUAAACAGUAUGAAACUCCUUAGAAAAUGGCCAUUUCCUCAUGAACAUCAUUGCCAAGGUGGGGUCUCUCUUCAUUGAUCAUUAAGGGUAGCAUCUUGGUUGCAAACUAUUGUCAGAUCUAGCUAAGGAAAAUUUACAUCAAAACUGCAGCGCUGAUGGUCCUUACAAACAUUAAGCACCUGUACAUGAAUGUUUAACCCCUUCCCACCGUAGAGUUAGACCAAAUAACCAGGCACUCUCAUGAGGAGCAGAUAAUAAUCUGUCCAAAUACUGAAGUAGAAAGAAUUUUGUCAUUCCAUCUACUUCUCAUGUUGAUCUUGCAAAACCUGAUCCACAUACCUGGAUCCACCAAUCCACAAGGAAGUUCAAUUUGGUUCUUUUUAUGAGAAAGUUGAACCAAAGUAGGGAAGGUUAGUUCAGAAAGAAAAAGGAAGCUCUUUGGAAAAGGGUUAUAGUAGGGAAGUUCCAAGAAGCAGCAUGGGGGGUGUGGAGCUCAUGUGAGGCAAGGGAUAAGCAUGGAGUGAGCCUGUGGAAGGCAAUGAGAAAAGGAUGGGAUGUCAUUAAAAGAUCUUGUUUCAUAGUGAGAGAUAGGAGGGAAAAGUUCUCAAAGGAUAGGUGAUAUGGUGACUCAACUAUAAAUGAUUCUUUUCCCUCCCUUUUUGCUAUAGCCACUGCAAAGGACACUUAGGUAAUGGAUGCAUGGUAGUCAGGGGAAAGGGAAUGUAGGAGACCCAGUUUUGUAAGACAGCUACAAGACUAGGAGCUGAAAAGAAAGGGGGAAUUUCUAUUAAGAUUCCAAAUGAAAGUGGUGCACAGGAAUGGUGGAGAUAUGAUAGUCUGGUUAGAAAAAGUGGAAUUUUUGCAUGGAAAACAACUUGCUGUAGGACCCUCACAAUAGAUCAGCUGAAAAUUUGGGGUUUGGACCAUGGUGAACAAAUGCUUCUUGUGUAAAGAUAAGGAAGACUCAGCAAACCACCUUUUGCUUCAUUCUACCCAAACAAUAAUUUUGUGACAGCUAAUCUUCUCAUUGUUUGUGGUUGAAUUGGUGAUGCCAGAAUAAGUUAAAGGUGCCAUCUUAAGUUGGUAGGGAUCCUUUGUAGGGAAGAGAAAAAAGAAAGCAUGAAGGACUGCCCCCUCACGUUUUUUGGAUGGUUUGGAAGGAGAGAAAUGAUAGGUUCUUCAAGGAUGUGGAACAAAUAGAUCAAAUGCUAAAAUUCUCAUUCUUAUGCUUAUUUUUGGAGUGGGUGAGGGUGGGCUUAGAUGAAGUGACAAUGUCUAUGGUUGACUUAGCCGAUUAUUUUUUUAUAUCUUGCUUUUUUUGUUUUGAUCUUGCCUUUUGGUGCCCUUAUAUGCGACUGGAGAACUCUAGUGUGCUCUUUUUACAGGCGCUGUUAAUAUAUCUUUUCUUGCUUUCUUAAAAAAAAUAAAAACAAAAAUAAAAGAGAGAAAGUUGAAGCAAAGAAACCUCUAUUUGAACCCAAUAAUAGAAAAGGAUAAUAUUGUGUUUGGUUCUUCCAUACCUAGUGAACCUAAACCAACCCAACCCAAUAGGUACUCCCAGGAUUCUCAGUUUCUAUAUUCUCAAAUUAAAAUACUAGAUUAAGCAGGUUAGCCAAGUUAGCCCCCAAGUAAACCUCUAACAAUAGACAAAAUAGUCACAUUCCAGGCAGAUGGCUUUGGAGCUAACAAAAAUUUAAUCCAACCCAAAUCAAGCCCAUUUCCAGCACUAUUACUAAAAGAUAUCCUAGACUUAGACGGUAUCUUGAGAAUCCAGGGAAAAGUACAAAACUAGAUGAAUCCUAUCAGAUUUAAUAAUAUGAAACAAAACCAAUCCCUUGACUAAGCUAGCAUUCAAAAAAGAAAAGAAAACAAAGAGGUAAAACAUAUUGAAGGAAACCAGUUUUAAUAAAUAAUAUAUAUAUAUAUAUAUAUAUAUAUAAAUUAAUUAAUUAAAAAAAAAAAAAGCAUGCUCCAAAGUAUAAACAACACAAGCAUUCUUCAAAAAUGAAAAUGAAAAAACUAUUUUCAACAAUUGAGCAACUAAUACAUGUUCAGAUAUAUUUUAGUAGACAGCUCAUGUGUUUGCUUUAGAGAAUAGUUGUUUUUCAUCUUACUGUUAAUUUCUUCUUACCAUUUGAGGCAAUUUUAUCUUUUAACAAAUGUAAGAGCAAUAACAUCAGAAAAAAUUUAUGGACACUCCUUAGAACUUGAAAUCUCUUUCACAUUGCUUCUCCAAAGACAUAACAAUAAAGAGUGAAGAUACAGAGGUAUGACAUGAAUGAUAUAAUAUAACAUACAGAUUUAACUGCAACCAAACAUGAAAAGGUGGAAAUACAAGUAUCUCACCUUAGCCUCAGAUGGUGAUACUGGGAAUGCAUUCAACGAUCUUUUGGCAUCAUCAUCAGAUGAACAGUCAGAACACAAAAAGUGGUCCAAUUUCUUUGCCUCUUCUAUGGUCAUACCCAUGCAAGAAGGAUGAAACCUGCAAGGAAUUGUUAUAACAAGUUAAAAACAAUUGUGUGUAUAUAAAGGACAUACACAUAAGGAUAUGUGGCCUGAAUCAGAAGAUAGGCAAGACAGGAGAAUGCAGCAUUAUGAUGUUCAGGAUGAACCACAUGGUAAUUACUAAAACUAAAAUAUUCACCCAACCUUCAGAAGACAAAUGCUUAGAAAUCAUUGAACAAACUGCAGAAACCCAAGUUGAAUACAUAGGCCUCCCACUCAAUAUUUCUGGAAAGCGUUCCACUCAACAAGUUCAUUUCAAUUAUAAAACCUUUUUUUCAUAGGUAACUAAAGAUUGUAUUAUCAAUGUAUUUAAUUGUAAAACAUUAAGAUCAUAUAUCAUUAGUGCAAGAUCCCACACAUGACAGAAUAGUUGUUAGUAUAUCUUUGUAUAGGAAACAAGAGAUUUAUCAAUGUUAAGGCUUAAAGAAGCUUGUUGAUGUAAAACACUUUCCUUAUGGAUUGUGUGUUUAGAAACAACUUCAAGAAAGAUCAAAAACAAAUUUCAAUGCUUUCCCAGAGAGAUUUAUAGGAUUAUGCCAGAGGAUGCUAGUGCUACUAUGAUACUAGAAAAUCUAAUCUUUCAUUUUAUUGAUAUUAUCAUCCAUUCUUACCAAAAUGGAAAAAAGCUUUAAUGGCCACUUAAUUGAUUUCUACCAGUCUGUUGCAUUGUUUUUUUCCAAGCAUUUAUGCAACUUAAAGCUUUUUUAUUCUGGUUGUUGAGUUGAAUAUGAAAUUUGGAGCUCAGAUAUAUAGUUCAAUAAGAUAAAUAUCUUCAAACCACCAUUAAUGCCCUUGUUAGUUUUGCCUAAAGAAGUGGCAGGCAUUUGCUAAUAUUAGACAGAGGAGGACUCAGUCGGCAAGUGUGAAGCCCUAAGCUAAAAACAAUGAAUAAAUCAACAAUAAAACAUGAUAGAAUAUUAGUAACACCUGAACAAUAUUUGUUUAAAUACCACGUAGCUCUAAGAAUCAUAAAAAUUUUAAAAAUCACUAAUGCAAUUGCAGUUAAUAAACCCGAAGAAAAGAUGAAGCAUCUUACCAGUCAUCAUUCAAAUUACAUAGUCACUCCAUUCAAUAGCUAAGAUAAAUGUAUUACAAGAAAAAUAAAAUAAAGUUCUAAACUCUGAAGAUUAGGGUCUUGUUUGGCAACUGUUUUCCAAAAUAGUUUUCUAUUUUUCAUAACAAAAAAACAGGAAAACAUGUUUGGCAACCAAAAAAUAGAUAAUAUUUUUUGUUCUUAAAAACAGAAAAUAAUUUCAAAAAAUAUCUUUUAGCUAUUUUCACUUGUUUUCUAAAAAUUGUUUUAAAAAGUAAUUCUACAAAUAUGGAGAAUGAUUAAAAAUAAAGCACCAUAAAUAAAAGUUAUUUUUAAAACAUAUUUAAGGACAUAGAAAAUGGGUUAAUAGCAUUUCAGGCAUCCAAACUGACUUUUGUUUUCAAAAAACUAUUUUUCAAAACUGUUUAUGAAAACACUUCCCAAACAGAGCCUAAUUUUUUUAUGAUUUCAACCUCUAGCAACAAACAAUAUUUAAAACCAAAACCUCACAAAUGUACAGGGCAUUAAUUUCUUUUGAUUAGUUUUCCGCAUAACUGAACAAAUAAAAAAUAUGCAACAAGUAUACCAGUCCUUGCAUCCUUCGCACUGCACCAUAAGGUCGUCCGGAUUAUAAGGCAUCUCGCACUUACAAUACCUUUAAAUCAAAACCCAAAAACAUUCAAGCAUCAGUCAGUGCCAAUCAAAAACCCUCAAAACAUCCAAUCCAAGUAAUUAUUAGUUUAACAAUUUGAAAGUAAUUUUCUGCUUCUAUGAGCUAAAUGCAGUUUAAUCUUUAAUGGAACUCGGACUCACACAGCAACCCGGUCGGGAGUGAACCCUCCUGUUGCAGCCUUGUACUCGAACCUACAGAAGUAAUCCUCAGCCCCAACAUUCUCAAGCUUAGUAUAAUUCUUAAAUGAGUGAACAAUGCACUUCCCUUCUAUAGUGUGGGCACUCUGCACAUCAUAGUGGUCGGACAAAAACAGCUCCUUGGCUCCAUGGAACUGCCUUCGCCCCCCAAUUGACUCCUCUGGCCGAUAAUACCACCGCACCCGAACCUUCACAUUGUUCCUAUGAUCUGCCUCAAUUUUCUCCACACGCGCAACAUAGGGAGGCUUAUCAGAGUCUGAUGGUCGCAUUAGCACACAAUCUCCAGCUGCCAACCACAGAUUUUUUAAAAAAAAAAAUCCACCCCAAAUUGUCGGAUUUUCAUUAUUUGAUACUAGGAGAUAACAAGAACUUCAACUUUACUAAUUCCCGGAUUAGAAGGGUCUGUUUGGCUCCGUUCUCACAAAGCAGGUUUUCGCUUUCCGAUUUCCAAUCACAGAAACUGGAAAAGGGUGUUGAAAACUCACCCGAAAAAAGCAUUUCCGAAACUAUUCUGUGAAAAUCAUUUCAGAUAAAAUGCCCAUUUCCCAUGAACAUCUAAAACAAGUUUCCCAUUUCCGGUUCUCAGUUUCCCUAAAAACUUUCGCUCUUCUCCAGAAACCCAUUUCGGUAAACCCUCCCCCAGAGGACAAAACCAAACAGACCCCAAUCAGUUCCCUCCCUCCUCCACAGUUCUCGGAGCAACCAACCAGCAGGUAAAUCAAAACAAAAACCAGAGAUUCAGAUUCCACAUGCACAAGCCAACAGAAAAAAAAAAAAGAAGCCUCACCUCUAACAACCUUGUUGGUGCCCUUGAUGGUGUAAGAAUCCAAGUCCUUUUUGCCAGGCUUGGUCUUGGCCAUGAAUGGGGUUGUAAGAUUCACAAAGAAUAAGCUCUAGAAAGAGAAACAAAAAGCAAAGCUUCCACAGACACAGGGUUGGGAAAGAAAAUAGCAAUGUUAGGGGGACUUGAGAUGGAAUUAUGGGUGAUUUGUGAGAAGAAAAAUGGUGGGUUUUGGAGAGUGGAGUGAAGGGGUUUUGUGGGGGAGUGGGAACACAAACCCUAGAUGCUGGGAAAGGGAGAGAGAAAGAAAGAAAGAAAGAGAGAGAGACCAAUGUCGGACCAGAGAUUUUGUUUGGAUGUGAGUAUGAACAGUGAUACGUAAUAUGUAGCCCACAUUAUGUACCAUGGACCAUCUCAAUUCACCCUUCAUGCAUAUGUCUAUUUGUUUAUGCACUCCUAUUUCCUAGUCCCUCUUCCCUAUAUGUGGACUAAUUGAAUUUCAACCUAAACUUCAUCAAUUUCAAUUCAAUUUUCCAAACCCAAUAACCAAUAAAAUAAAAUUAGAACUUGAAUUUUUUAUUAAAUGUUUGUGACUGUUUAUGGAUUAGGGCAAAGAAGAUGUCUUGGAUAACUCAAGUUGGCAAAGAGGCCGCAAUCUUUUCUCUGUUCUUUCAACUGUAAAGACAAAUCUCACACAUUACCCAGUGCACACACUGCUAAAAAACAGUAAAAAUAGCUUCUUGUCUGUUCAAAAUAAAGAAUUUUCAUAUGCAAACAAGAAAACUUCCAUGGUGGGAUAUGGCAAAAGAAUGACACUAGCCAUAGAAGGGUGGUGCUCAGUAUAGGAAAGUAGGUGAAGAAAAAGGCUGCAUUAGGUGGUUAUAACGCUGAUAAUUGUGGUGGAAAAAAAGGCACAUUUGUUAUGCAGAAAUGACUCAAUUACUUUGUUUCCUUUCUUGUUUGUAACCCCAUUGUACUUCACAUUAGGGCAUUGGAAAAUGGUCAUCUAUUUACUAACCUCAUUGUACUUCAUAUUAGGGCAUUGCACAAUGGUUAUUUGUUUACUUCUGAUAUGGCAUAAAGGAGGAGCAAAGGUCUAGCAUGAAGAUGUGAUAAGGGGCCAGUUGUGAUCUCAAACCCACUAUUAAAAGUCAAAGCCAAAUAAUUAUGGUGUCAUCAUCAUUAAUUUUUUACAUUUGUGAUUGAUGGGUUCCAUGGGUUCUUCUUUUUGUUUAAUGAAACUAAAAGGAUACAAAUGAAUUCUCCAAAAAAAAUGAUAAUGGGUUAUAAAUUUGGUUAAGAAAAUACUUCAAAUAUUUUUUAUGUUUUGAGAAAUACACUGAAGUACUUCAGCAGUCAAAUGUGUAUCAUUUUGGUUUUUUCAUGCCAUUUCACUUGUAUAUGGAAGCAAGAAUAACAAAUUCAACACACCAACUAAUGGUUCAAACCACCUAAGAAAUCAACCACUUUGAUAUGUUUAUCAGUUAGGUAGAGAUGCCAUUAUCAUCGAGUUCCCAUAAGAUCUAGCAGGCAUGCAACAAACAAGAGGCACUCAUUAUUCAUACCAAAUCUUCAUUUCCCAGCCAAAUAUAAAACAACAACAAAUAAUUAGGGUGGUCACAUAGACCACUAAGGGAUUUGCAUUUAAAAAAGAAAAAGAAAAAUAUGGUUAAUUAAGCAAUAUUCUAAAAAAAUAUGAACAAACAACCACUAUGGCUUCACUAAUUAUUAGGGUUUAGGUCUAAGAAGCAUGUUUUGGUGUUUAAGUUGCUAAUUAUCUUAAUGUUAAGUGAUGAAUAAAUAUGAUUUAGGGUAGGUCCAACUGUAUGCAUUCCUACAAUGAAAAGCAAUUAGUGAUAUAGGUAACAGCUAUGAAGCAAGGAUGCCCUCACCUACACCGAUUAAUUUUGUACUUAAAAAUUUUAAAGUAGGUUUCCAUAGCAUAGCAUGGAUGUGAAAAAAGAGGUAAUGCCUUUUUCUUUUCCUUUUUUAAAUAAAGUUGGCCUGCACUUUGAGGGUGAUGGUAAUGUACAUGGUGCCUGUUAGUUUUGAGUUCAGUUUCAUGCACAACCUUGUUGUGAUACAAACCAACAAUUUUAGGACAGUGCCCUUGAUUUUAAGGAGAGGUUGGUCCUUACCCACAUGACCAAUUCAGUUCCUUGGUCAAAAUCAUAUUAGGAAUUUAGGAUGGGGGCCCUACCUCAGCACAAGGUUUUGUUAUGUGCUCUAUUUUAAGGUGUAUACAAUUAUUUAAAAUGAAAAAAUAUGCAACUUUAAAGUACUAGUGACUUCACCAUGUUUGGCUGUAUGAGCUGUUUCUUCAUCUGUCUGUCACCCUGAAAGAAAUGGUAGAAGAGUCCAAGAGAGAGUGGUGUUACAAUGAAGAUUGAAAACCAGCAAAGAAUCAGUGGGCUUGGCAGGUUUUCCAAUCCAGCCUAAAAAUGGACUUGGUAGGCUUUCUACUCACAACCAACUGGGCCAACCUCUCCAAGUGGCAAUAAGUUUUCAAGGUUUUCAAUAAUAGAGCUUUAAGACAAUUUUCAAUUACUUUUAGAAAUAAAAUUAUAUUUAUGAAUUCAAAUAUAAAAAACAAUAUUUUUAUUAUUUUUUCGUGAAAGUGUAACAUACUUAUAUAUGACAUUUAAAAUAUCUGGAUAUAUCAUUGAUAUAUCCUAAUAUAUCCAAAUCUGUGAAUCCUGAUAUAAAAUUUUAGAAGAUAUAUUCAUUAAUUGAUAUUUUCAAAUAUUUUUUUAAUUUUUCAUUUUUUCAAUUAUUAAACAAAUUAAUUAUAAUUAUUUUAUUUUUACAUUUGAUUUAAUUUAUUACCGAAAAUAUAAAAACUUAAUUUAUUAAAUAUACAAAAUAUAAAUAGUAAAAAAAUUAUACUUACAUUAUUAUUUAUUUGAUAUUAUUGAAUAUAUUUAAAUUAAAAUGAAUCAUAAUUUUAAUAUUAAAUAUAUUUUAAAAUUAAACAUCUUAUCAUAAUCUUAUUGCAAAAUAAUAUAUAAUACAACUUAAUAUUUAUAUUUUUUUAUGAACGUAGGGACAUUAUUAUCAAAUAUGACAAAUUAUAUAUAUAUAUAUAUAUAUAUAUAUAUAUAUAUAUAUAUAUAUAUAUAUAUAUAUAUAUAUAUCAAUUUUAAAAAAAUAAUAACUUUACAAUGUCUAUUUUUACUUCUUAUAAAUUUUUUUAAAGUUUUUCUUAAUAUUUUCAUAAUUUUCAUGUCAUCGAUAUUUUAUAUCAAAACAUCUAUUGAUAUAUUAGAUAUAUUCAUAAAAUUAAAAUACCAAUAUUUUCAUCCUUAUAUAUAAUACAAAAGUUUCCAAAAUAUCGUCCAUAUCUUCAAUGAUUGCUUAAAACACUCUACAUAAAAACAAUUCAAAAUAUUUAUUAUAAUUUGUUGUUAAAAUCAACUUAUUUUAAAAAAGAUUAUUUGAUUAAAAAUAAUGAAACCAUCCUCAUUUUGUAAAUUUAAUCCUCCACUUUUUUAACCCUAAAAAAUACUCAUUUUAGACAAAAAUAUCAUCACAUUUUUCUUAUAAAAAUAUUUUUUUUUUUUAAAUACACAUGUAAAUGAUCAAUAUAUUAAGGGACAUUUGCAUUAAAAAUAAGUUACUUUUCAAAGCGAAAAACAAGAGAUAUUAGCUUUACAAAUAUAUCUUUCCAUCCCUUCCAACAAUAUCCACUUAGGAUCUAAGCUUUUGUACACUUCAUCUAAUAAUAUUAGUAUUUAAUUGCUUAAGACUAUAUGCAUGCUAAAAUGUUAGUAGAUCGAUUCAACUGGCUGAAUUUUUGCUAUCUUUUCAUCUUGUUUGGGUUAUUCUUAUGUUAGGUUACUAGGCUACCCAUAUUCCACAAACCACCAAUGAAUCUUAGAGUCCAUGACAUUAAACUAGGAAAGGUUUUUACCCUAAAAAUUGUUUUUAAAAACCUGAAAAUUCACUUAUAAUAUUAAAAAAUCACUUGCAAUAUUUUUAAAAAAAAUAUUUGAUAAGUGAUUUUUUCCAAAGACACCUCGAUAAGAAGACAAACAAACUUCCAAAGAUUUAGACUAUAAAACAGUAUAUUUUAUAUAUAUAUAUAAGAAUCAAGGAAAGAAGGAAGGAGCAUGAUAGGCUUCCCCCUGUUAUAAGGCUAGAUAUGAAUUAAGUUCAGCCCUCCAAUAAAAGAAAAAAGAAAGUUAACCAAUGGCAGAAAAUCAGUAGAUUCAUACUUUUGAAGGGUUCUUGUCAACCAGAUCAAUAUUGCUGCUGAGAGAAUAGUAAUCGGUCUCCCUAUAUAUAUAUAACAAACAAAGCUCAAAAUGAAUACAGAUAAACCACAAAGCAGUGGUGAGGGUAGAGCCACAUUCCACGUGGAAACUAAUAUAUAUAUAUAAUAUAUAUAUAAAGCAGCAGCUUAACUUAAAUUCUUUUCCCUUCUGCUUCAUAUGCAGUACCAAUACCAUUACAUAUAGUACAUACCUCUAGACGCAUUACCAAUGAUGUUGCUCAUAACAACACUUUGUUCAAUAUAGAGAGCUCAGGGUUUUCAGGUUUGGAAAAUGUAGAUCAUAGAAGCGUAGGCGUGCAGUCCAUGGGGAACGGAUUGCCCAUAACGCUGUCCAUGUAGUAGUGGGGAUGGGUUGCGUCCAUCACCACAAACUGCAUAUCCUCUGAAGGUUUCCAGUGGCGUUUCCUCUGAUUGAUGAACCAGUUGUUUAUCUGUUUCUGAUCUAGACCAGUCGAUUCUGCAAGUGCCAGUUUUUGGGACUCCUGCAUGUUGAUGAUUACAAACAUGUGAACUACAAUUUCAACAAGUUUUCUGCAAAGCUUGUAGUCAAGUAUGUGAUCUUAGCAUGCGAGGAACAAAGCUGUUAAAUGGAAGUGAUGCGAUUUACCGAUGGGUAAGGCCACUUGUAGUGUCUGCUCCACCAGUCAAGCAACUGCUGCCUGGCUUCCUUGGGUAGUUUCCCUUUCUUUUUCUUCUUCAGGAACUCCUGCUUCAGGCUACCCAGAUAUCCACUGUACUUGCGCAGAAGCUGGCCCUUCAGCUCCCUGUCUUCGGCUUGAGGGUCGAUGCAAGUGUCAUUCCCAUCAACCUCCUCCUCAGAUGAUCCAACCCGACCCGCAUAACUACCACAAACUGAUGACAAGAAACCAGAAGAGCAAAUUCAAGUCAGUGUAUUCACCUGCAAACAUGGGCCUCUAAGAAUCUACAAUUUUGGAAAGAUGAAUGAUUUUUUCUUUCAUAAGAGAACACAUAUGUGCAUACACAGAGUGUUUCAGUUUAGGUCCCUUAAUUUUUCAGGUUAUAAUAUUGGAUGGAGAGAGCACGCCCCUAAUACCACUGUGUUCAUCAGAGAAUUUUGGGAAGAUCAAUCAUUUUCCUCAUUAUAAAAAUCAAUUAAAUCACUGAGACAUUUGAAAUAAUACUGAAGAUUCAAUUGUCUUGCUUCUCAGUCGCUGAGACACUGCCUGGAACUCAGACAACAUCACAGUUUAGGUCAUGUACUAGUCAAACCCGGAUAAAAUAUUACUUUUUCUCCUUUAAAUUUCCCAAGUAAUCAAGAAGCAAGCCCAUGAGGAGCGCCAUUCAUGUUUGAAUGCAGACCUGCAGAAACAACUGGGAAACUGCUUCAACUGCUUACCGUACAGAAAGACAUGCAUGUUCAAGAAAGCAGCAUCUUGAUACACAAAUAACAGAUAUGGUCGGCACCCUCACAUAUUCAAUGCCUUAAUGAACCUACUUGCCAUGCAACUAAACCUCUUGAUCGUUCUUUAGUACCCAAUGUCAACAAGAUCUACCAGGCAUUCCCUCUGUAUGCUGUCCGAGAGACCAAUUACCUAGCUUAUAUAUAAAAGAUGAUAUACCAUGGCAGAUAAGUGACAUUGUGGUGUUCUUGCCCUCAAACUAUGGGUUGAUAGUCACGAGUUAAAUAUCAAAAAGGUAUAAGAUAUUUGAUCCGACCGACAGUAUUUCUCUAGACAUCUCAGAAUGACUUGGGUCAUGUCCUGUGGAAGUUUGAUCAGUCCACUGAAAUAUAUUUAAGUUUUCAGACGAUUUUGUUUCAGUUUUUCAGAUUAUGCCAAGAACUUUUAAUGCAUUAAAACCAACUUAUUGACCAAACAAAGCUAACAGUAAAUCAUUACGAACUUCACACAUAGCAAACGAAAUAAAUUUUAUAAACCUAGUCAUGGGGCAGUGCCCUAGGGCAUAAAUACCAUAAGACUAGACAAAAGGACAAGUUCUAUACUGAUGCAUCUUCUUCAGCGGUCAUGCAAUUAAUGAAAAACUGAAACCAGAUAAAAAGAUGAUUAAAGCCUUCCAUGCAUUCCGUGGCAUAUAUAUAUAUAUAUAAUAUAAAUAUUUUCAGGUUAUUCAUCCUAUACCAACAAAAACAAAACAGGAACAAGGUCAAAAGUUGAACAAUAAACAAAUUCUUUAUCAAAAUAAAUCAUUGAAAAACUGAAAAAUAUCUUUGAAUCUAUCGACUAGCCCUUGUCCUAUUGCAUAUGUAUGCAUCAUAUGCAGGUGUACUAUCUCAAUAAACAAAACAUAUAAAGUACCUAGGUUUCAGUCUAGCAUCAUUGUUAGAACUUAGAACAAGGAUAGGAUUCAACUCCCUUUCUUUUUCUCUCUGAACUUACAAUAAAAAGCAGAAAGAAGAAGAAAAAAAAUUCAAGUUCGAGGGCUUACAAACAGGAAAUUAAAACCCUAUUUCUUCUAUGUUCAUCAGUAUAUACAUUAAACUGAUAAGGCAAACUUAAGAGUAUAAGAAAGAUACAGUGCUCAUCUGUUCUCUCAAAAAAUACUAUGCUGAAAUUUCACUUUAAAAGCCUAGGAUUUUGAUAAGCUUGACAAACUUGGGUUGUCCUCGUGUUUAUGCAAACCCUAGCUAGUUACAUCACUGGAAACCCCCAUCCAUGUAUGGUUUAUACAUAGCUUCAUAAAAACAACACAGGAGUCUAUAUCCGUUUUAUUUCUAACUUCCCUAAGAAAUUAGGAUAUGAAGGUGAAUCAGCCCUGAAAAUUCAAAGUUUAAACAAAACAACAUCCUAUCAGGAAAGGCAAUUAUAAGAAUAGGCUAGCAAGUCUCAGUUCAAAGCACAGGAAGAGAGAGAAGAAUCAAGACAACAAAUACCUAUUAGACCUAGCCAUCUACAAAUCUACCCAUCUAGCUUUCCAUACCCAUCUAGCAAAUCUCAGAGUCUUUCUGAACACAAACUUUUCAUUUUCAUGGAAAACCACACACAUGCUGACAUGCAUGAUUUUGUAAGAACAGUUAAUUAUUAUACUAAUGGAAUCCAUUAAGGAACAGUUUUUUUAAGGUAUGUUAAGGAGUGGGAAGAGAGGAGAAAAGAGGUUGAAGAGAGGGAUCACCAGAAUCUGAAGGGGCAACAGUUAGGGCUUUGAACUGGCACUCGAUCCUUGAUAGGAAAAGCAUGGCUUCUUUGAAGGGUUUUGUGAGCUCCUGCUCGUACUUGGUGAGCAUCUCACAAUAUGCCUCCAUGAACUGAUCCAGUGCAGGGUCUUCUCCUACGCAGCUUGUUGCAGACCUACCCAUGGCUUCCUCAGAAGCACAAGCCUCUUCUAACCUGGCUACCACUUCCGGCGGUGCCCCCACCUGAUUUGUUUGUUUUCACUCUCUUGUCAGAAAGAUAAGAACACAUAUAUGUAAAAAAUAACUGGUGAAAAAAAUAUAUAUAUAAAAACACGGAAGAUCAAUUAUAACUUCCAAUCAAGCAAAUAAAAAAAAAUUCAAAAACAGAAACAAAAGGAACAGUAAAGUGUAACCAGGCGUGUGAUUGAUCUUCCGCAUACCCCCACCCCAAAACUAGAAAUUUUUUUUAAAAAAAAAAAGGCAAUUGAUCUCUUACAGUUACUGGGUGUUUGAUUUUCAGAGAGGCGAUGAAGGGUUCCUCUUAGAUUUUGGUUUUCUUUUUCUCUUUCUUUUUUUUUUUUUAAACUGAAAUUCUAAUUUUCUUCACCUUUUGGCAAUUAACAUAGGCAGCCAAGAGGCGAGGGUAGUGGGGAUGAGCCAUGAUCUUAGCUUUCAUAGAACAGCUGGUGCAGUCAUGAUUAUUGGUGGUGUUGCUGUUGCUGCCUUCCAUGAAAUAACAACCUGAGUUGUUGUGGUUGCAGCUGCCUUGGGGCAUUAGGGCAGAGACCUUUUGGCUGCUCUGCUGAUUAGGAUUGUUGCUGCUGUUGUUGUUGUUCCAGAAGGGUAGAGGAAGAAACACCUUACUGGUUUCUGCAUUAGAAGAAGACAUAAGAGGCAUCAUCAUCACCAUAGAAGAAAGUCCAUUACUAUUGUUCCCAAAACCCAUCAUACAUGAAGUAGUACUAGGACCACCACCACCACCACCACCACCAACUUCCAUCUCUCUUCUCUUUCUCUUCUCUCUCCCAAAACCCACCCUUGUUUCUCUACAGAUUGUUGUCCCCAAAGAGCACUCCCGGUUUUUAAGCUACCACUAUCAGUCUUUUUACAGAAAAUCCUAAGUAGAGGGCAGUCAGUUAUGGGGUUUGUUUCCUUCUUGGCUGGUCUGUAAAGGCUGAUCCAGACUUCCCUCGGAAAUGGGUGCUCUUUUUUCUUAUCUUCAUUUUUUUAAAUUUCUCUGUACAUUAACAGUAUCUCAUCCGUAUCCCACUGUAUGUAUGUGGCUGUGUCCUAUAGAGGGAAAUAAAAAAGGAGUGUGAAAGAGAAAGAGAUUGUACUGAACUGUGUCAUCCACCUCUGCAACUAAGCUUUUCCUUCCCGAUGAAAGCUCUCUCCCCUCGGUUCUUGCACUGCCACUGAUCAACCUCUACUAUUACUGGCUGUCCCUGAAGAGAUAGAGAGAGAGAGAGAAAGCGCUUAAUUGCUUGCUUAAAGGGUGUGAAGAUUUUGGAGAGGAUCAAAUCAAUUGGACAUAUGCACCCAAUGGGAAAGCAAGCUCUCUCCUUGUUGUGGCUCCCUCUCUCUCUCUCUCUCUCGUCUCAUCUCCUCCGUCCAUUCUAAUCUUUCACUCGAUAUAUUCUCUCUCCAUUCCUCUCUCUUCUCUCUCCCAGUGGUAGAAGACAAAUGGGGACGACGUCGUUUUUGAAAGGGAAUCAACCGAACAAAACCCAAACUACACCCUGUGAGAGAGAAGAUCAGUUCACUCUUUCUCUUUCUUUCAUUCAUUCAAUACUGUCUAAUCUGUAAUUAUAUUUACUGUGGAAAAAGCGUACACAAAAAAUGAAAAGAAAAGGCUGAUAAAGCUUGUGGGACAGUCCGAAUGUCUUUCCCUCUAACCUCUCUCUCUCUCUCUCUCUCUCUCUCCUUUGAACUCCCUAUUCAAUGCCGGUUCCUUCCACCUUUCUUCUCCCUCCCGCAUUCCAUCAUAAUAGUUUUCUUAUCAAUCAUGGACAUUAUGAGCUUUUGGAUCUUCUCACAUAAUUUUCUUACAUUUUUUAAUUAUAUUUGUAUGUUAUAUUUAUAUACGUGUUAGGAUCAAGAGUUUGUCAUGGGAAACCCUAGCAAGAAUCCACCUUCACUCAUUGCUGAUUUGUCCUCAAGUGACUUUAAAAAGACAACAAAUUUUGUUAAAUUCUAAUACAAGAUUAUAUUUCACGUAUAAAUACUUUUAAUUUUAUAAAAAAAUUAUUAUUAUUAUAAAUAUAAAAUUUUUAAUAUUUUAAUAAUCACAUCAAUCAUUCAUAUAUUGUUCACAUUAUCGAUAUUAAUCCAAAAAAUCAAACUCAAAUCUUUUAAUCAAUCAAAAUUUUGAUAUGAUUAUAACUUUAUUCAUUAUCAUAUAGCACGUGAUCUGAAAAAAAAAAAAAAUCCUUCAAAUUCAAAUAUUUGUUAUCAUACUUGACAUGAUGGAUGAUAUAUCCCACAAACACGAAUUAAAUAUGAGUAUCACACCUCUUAUACUUAAAAUUUAUAAUUGAAAAUAUUCUCAAAAUUAAAAUUAAAAAAAAUGUUAAUCAUACAUUAAAAAUUUAAGAUAAAAUUUGAAGGGUCAAGAGUUAGGUGGUCUAAAAUAUUUAAAAAUUAAAAAAAAAAUCAUUGAAAAUUUAGGUUUUGAUUUCAAUGCCCAAUAUUGGAUCAUUAGAAGCUUAUUAUUACCUUUUUGUCUGAUUAAUUUAAUAGUUGUUAGGCACAUUGACUUGAAAGUUUAAAUUAUGAAUACAAACUUUGAAGAUUAAUACUCAUUGAUAGUUCCAAAUUAAUAUUCCAUCAUUGGGGUUUGAAAUUAUCGAAUUUCUGAAAUUAAUUGUAGAAACAAAAUUUUCUUAAAUUAUUUGGUUAAGUUUUGUAAAUUGGGAGGUAACUUUUUGAAUUCGUACGUUUAUUUUUUUAAUACAAUAUUUUAAAAACAUGGAUUUCACUGCACUCCUUACGUGCUGUAUUCUUUGCAUCAAUCACUUUAAAAAGAGUACUUUAUUCUCUAUUUCAAAACUUUUCUUUUUUUUUUUUAGAAAAUCAUUCUAAUAACUGUCAAGAGAAAAUAUCAGGUUCUCCCCUAUUAAUUAAGCUUCUUUAAAUUAUUUAUUUAAUAAACAAAAUAUUAUAUAAUAUAUUUUUGUUUAAUAUGCAUUUUAAUACAAAUUAAUGUAUUUAAGGGCAUGUUUGGUAAUUGUCUUAUUUAAUAUCCCAUGUUUUGUAAAAUAAAAUUUUAUUUGAAAAUCUAAAAUGUUUUUAAUAUUUUUAAAAAAUAAUUUUUAUGUUUGAUAUUUUAUUUAUAAUCAUUUUAUAUAUUUGUAUAAUCAUUUUUUUAAACAAUUAUAAAAAAAGUGAAAAUAUCUAAAAUAUAUUUUUUGAAAACGACAUAUUUUAUAUUUUUUUUAAAAAUAAAAAAUUGGUUUUGAUUGUCACGAGUUUUCCUCUUUUUUUUAUAUUUAUUUUAAAGAACAAAAAACCGUUUUAAAAAAUAGUUAUGAUAUAGUUUAUAAAAUCCUCUUCUACUCGACACUAAAUACUUCUAAAAAACUUAUGUAUAAUAUCUUAAAUAUUAAAAGUUAUAAUUUGAGUUUCAGAAUUUGAUUUAUUUAUUUUUUGAAAAAAAAUAGAACACUCAAGUUGUUUUAUUAUCAUGUUUUUGUUUAAUUGAUUAAUCUUAAAAUUAUUUUUAUUUUUAAUAAAAAUAUUUUAUUCAAAACAUUAAAUCUGUCACAAAACAAAAAUAAUUAUUUUUCAUUCUUUUCGUCCAUUUCUAUAAUAAGAUAUUCAAAAGCUAGCCAAUCCAAAUGAUCCUAAAUCUUGCUUUGAAAUAAUAAGUUUUUGAAUAAUUAUUUUUCUACUAUUUUAUCUUUUUCAUAAAUUUAAUCAUUUAGGUAUAGACUUUUAAUUAGUAGGAAAAUCUCCCUUAGGAAUUAGGAGAUGCUUUAUUUAUUUAUUUAUUGAUUCAUUGCAUGCAUUUUAUUUAUAAAUAAAAGAAUUCUGAAUUAAAAAAAUAAAAAGAAAAAGAAAAAUAAAAAAGAAAGGUUUGGCAGUGAUGGAGAUUACAAUUCACUGGCUCACAUGUCUAGUUGAUGGGUAGGCAAAACGGACGAAGAAAAUCUAUUUCAUGUCAAAAUCACAAAUCAUUGUGGUGGGUUUUCCCAGAAACUCAUACUUUUUUUUUUCUCAUAAAUAAAUAAAAAAGCGUGAUCCAGACAAUUUUCACCAAGUGGAUUAUUAUUAUUAUUAUUAAAUCCUUUUAGUUUUUAUGAUUCUAUUUUUUGCUUCAUUUUUGGCAGGUAAAAUCUAAUUACAUAGCCAUCCUAUCCUUCCCAAACUUGACUCUUUUUACUCAUCCCAUGCAUUGUAAUUUUUUUUCUUUAAUACAUGAUUUAAUUUUUAUGUUAAUUAAAUAAAUUAUAAUUUUCAAAUUCUAAUCAUUUUAUUUUGAUAAUUUAUUGUAUCGAUUUAAUCAAUUUAUAUAUGAUAAAAACUGAACGAAUCGGCUAUCAAACCAAACCAAGCCUUUUAAGUUAGGUUUGAUUCUAUUUUUGUGAAUAGAUUAUAACCUUGAUUGUUGUUUUUUAGUCUUCAAUCCAUGUGUAAAUUUGUAUUUGUUUUGAACCUAAAUCUCAUUAUUGAGUUUAUAUUAAUUUGAUAUUAAAAAUAUAUCGACUUAUUUAACCAUAAUAUAAAAACAAUUAAUUACUUUAAUAGAAUCGAAUAUAAAAAAUUUAUUAAAUAUCAAACAAUUAUUUAUAAGUUUUUGAAUGUCAGUUAUGCUUGAUUUUUAUCAAUUAUAAGACAAGAAAAUUAAAAACCGAACCAAUAAAGUUGGUUCUUAAAAUUGUCAAACUAAACCGAUAUUUUUCUUUUAUUAAAAACUAAAUCAAUAUGAUCAGUUUUUUAUUAUUUUAGAUCUAUUUAUCAAUUUUCUCGAUUUUACUUACACCGACACAUGGACUCAAACAAAUAUAUUAGAAUUAUCCACAAUACCGUAAACAUUACUACUCUUUUCACAUGUUGUGUUAGCUCAAUUUAUUUUAUUUCUUUAAUUAAACGUAAACCUUAUACUUUUGUAGAAAUUAGACAUAAAAUAAUUUACAUACAGAUUUUUUUUUUUUUUGGUCACCUUUAAAAUGAGAUGACAAGCGCCUCACUAACCCACCUAAGAGGCAGGGGGCAGGAAUUUAUUUAUUUAUUUAUUAAUAUUUUUUUUUUUUUUAUAGUCUUUUAAUAAAACAUUUGUAAAAUGUGGAGAUUUGUUUAGAAGAUUUCGAUGGAAAGUAUUUUUUAAGGAGAUAAUGGGAUAUGGUUAUAUUAUAUUGAAAAUUUAAUGUUGUUCAUCCAAGAUUUUAUUUCAAAUUUUAAUAGUUAGAGUAUUGUUUUUUUUUAAAUAAUUUUUUAUUUUACUACCUAUAAAUAAAAAAAAUACUUAUCAAAUAAAAAUAAAUAAAAUUAUGUUCCAUCAUAUCGCAUCAUAUAUGCAUCUAAAUCUUAUUAUUUUUGUACUUUCGAUUCCAUUUAUAUAUACUUUAAUUAUAUUCUUUACAUUCCAACUUAUUCCAUGUACCUUAAUUCAAUUAUUAGUACCUUUCGUGAAUAAAGUAAACUUUUUCAUAGACUUUUAAUAGUGGAGACUUAAAUUUUAAUAAGUAACUUUUAGAUACCUUAAAAGGGAAUUUUGAAACAUGUUUUUGAAAAUUUGAAAAUAGUUAUCUUAUGUUUUUAAAAACAAAAUCAUGUUUAUGAACUAAAAACAAUUUAUUUGUGUUUUCAUUUUUUUUUUUAUGAAAAUAAACUACAAAAUAAAGUAUUUCCAUAAACGAUUAAAAGAAGAAUGGUAAUAAUCUUCGAAUCAUUAUAAUUUUUAUUUAUAAAAAAUAACUUCAAAUAUUUUUUAAAAAUAAUUUUAUUUAUAUUAUUUUAUUUUCAAUCAUUGUAAUUAAUUUUUUUUUUAAAUAACCUCUUAAAAAAAAGUAAUUAAAAUAUAUUCUAAAAAAAAUGGUAAUUUCAAAACAAGUGAAGACUUUGUUUGUUUGAAAACUGUUUUUUAGAUGAAUUUUUAGUUUUUCAUAACAAAAAAAAUAAAAAACACUUUUAACAACAAAAAAUUGUUUUAUUUAAGAAUAGAAAAUAAAAUAUUUUCACAUCUUUUAGUUGUUUUAUAUUAUUAUCACUUAUUUUCUAAGGCAGUUUUAAAAAAUAUUUAUAUAAACAUAUAAAAUAAUUAAAAAUAAACUAUUAAGUAUACAAUUAUUUUAAAAAUAUUAAAAUUAUGUUAAAAAUAUUUUAGGUUUUCAAAUAGACUUUGCUUUAUAAAUAAUAAAUAUCAUAAAAUUAUUUUAAAAAACCAUUCUUUAAAAUUAUUUUCGAAAACCAUUACCAAUACCAACCUUUGUGUUAAAAAAAUAAUUUUUUAUUUUAAAAAAGAUGCUAUUAUAAAACUGUUAAUUUAAUGAAGGAAAUAGUGUAAUCCAGUAGGAGGAAUAUUUGAUGAAAAAGAGCGAAGAGUGAUGGAAAUGUUGAAAGAGUGAUGUUAUGGAUUUCCAACUCAAAAUAACUUGACGGCGUACGUCCUUUCCCUUCUAUCAAUCUUCAUGCUUUGACCAUCCGUAUACAUUUAUUUUAUUCUCCUUUUUUUUUUUUUCUUCCCCUCAUAUUUCAUCAUAAUUAUUUUGUAAUUAAAAAAAAAAAAAAAAAUUGGUGUUGGAAUUUCGAGUUACAUGCAGUUGGUGGAUUUUGACAGGAAAAGAAUUUUGUAUUUUGGAGUUUGAAUCACAUACCACCUCUCAUUCCACAACUCCAAUCAAAUUUUGACAUGGGUGACAAAAUUUCAGAUAUAAUAAUUAUUUUUUUCUAAAAAAAAAGUAAUGUGUUAUAAUAUUCUAUUUAAAAUUGAUUUGAAAAUGAUUUUUAGUCCGUAAAAAAGUUUCUUUGUAAAAAUUAAGGAUUUUAUAAGCUUUUGAAAUUCACAUUUAUAUAAAAGAUUUAUUUGAAGUAAUUCUCUGGGUGAUUAUUUCAAAAAUCAUUUUUUUGUUAUAUAAUAUAUUAUCGAAAUAUACAUCGACUAUUUUUAAAAAAGCUUUUAAUGGAAGUGAUAUUUUUAAAAUCGUGUUAACUAGAAUCAUUUCAAACAAAGUCUUAAAACUUAUUUGAUAGUAAUUUUAAGAAAUGGUUUUAGUUUUUCUAACGCUUAUAAAAAAUUUCAAAUUUUAAAAAAGUUGAAAGCACUUUUUAGAAUUGUUAUCAAACAAACUCUUAAUAAUUGGAAAUUAUUUUUGUUAUACAAUUUUAAAGGUGAGAGUUAAUUUCUAGUUCACAUGAGUUGUGAUAAUGAUUUUAUUCUUUGAUAAGGACUUUAUUCUAUCAAUUAUAAAUGGUGAUUUAUUAAAUUUGUGUGUAGUCAUUUAAGAUCCUUACUAAAUUCAAAAUGAUAGAAAUAGACAAUAUCAUCGUAUGUGUUAUAAUAUUAUAUUUAGAGUCAGUUUGAAAAUGAUUUAAGAAUGCGUUUGAAAGUGAUUAUAGAAAACGUUUUUAUUAUUUUUAACAUUUGAUAAAAAAUUUCAAAUAUUAAAAAUAUUAAAAACGUUUUCUAGAAUCACUAUUAAACAUAUUCUAAAAAGAGUUGCAAGUGUUUUUUAAAGAUUUAAAAAUAUUUCUUUAAAGAAAUUAAGCAUCUAAUAGGUUUUUGCAAAAAAUGAUUUUAAAUAGAGGAUUAAUUUAAAAUUUAUCAUUGAUGCAUAAGCUUUCUUUAAAAGUGGUUUUUAACUAAAGAGUUACUUUAAUUAUAAUCAUUUUCAAACGAGCUCUUAAUAAAGUUACUCCUGUAAUUCAUCAUCAGUCAAGGAGUAAAAACCGAAAAAGAAAGAUUCAUAGCAAACCUAAGUAGAUUUUUUUUGUUACUUUAAAAAAUAAAACUAGAAAAAUGAUAGACUGAGGAACAAAAAGUAAGAAAUGGACAAUUUUCAGUUGACAAAGAAAACAAAAGAAAAUUGAAGAAUUAGGUUUCAUUUUUCUAAAACAUACUCAUGAGCACUGGAGGGGCAAAAAGAAAAGGGAUGUUGAUAGAUGUCACUGGUGAGAAGGUGGGGAAGCCAUUGCCAAUUCCAUACAAGCUUUUCUGGUUUGUCCUCUUUAAGUCUUAUCCAUGACCAUGAAUUUACCCACACACCCCAUUACAGGGAACAAACAGCAUCUACUGCUAUUCAAAUUUUGAACUCCCCCCUCAGCUCAACUCAACUCAACUCAACUCACUCCCUGAAACCAAAGUCCUUCUACCACCAGUUUCUCUCUCUCUCUCUUUUUUUUUUUAAAGGGAAAAUAAAUUAUGCAGAGCUGGUUAUGGGGUUAGAGUCAAUUUAUAGCAAGAAAUAUGAAUUGUCUCUAUGUGAGGGUGAAAAUGACAUCCCACCCAUUGGUCUAUGAACUCGAAGGAUACAAUAUAUAGCUCACUCAUGACGUCCUUUUAGGCCUAUUAAUUAGUUAAUAGGCCAUAUCUACCUGGAUUGGGACAUCCCUUUAGGUCAAUUAAUUAUUACAUUCAUGUGAUAAUCAUAAAGUUAAUUUUUUUUAUAUUAGACCACCUUUUUGUAAACUUGAUUAUGGGUUUUCUAAGAUAUCUUAAAUAAAGCAGUUGCAUGCAAGUUUUUCUAUGUAUUCAUUAUGGUUUCCUAGUGGCAUGCCAGACAUUUAUGUUACUAUAUGGUAGAUUUCCUUUCUUAUGCCAGACACUCCGGUACAUAUUAGAGUGGAGUCGUUUGGACAAGCAAAAGCCGCCAAUUGAAUACCAUGGAAGAGCUUUUACAUUCAAGGGCACACAUUACUUCACUGCAUGCCUUAUCUUGGAUGAUAAGGAUUAUCAACUAGGGUCCCCCAAAGGCUAUAAAUGACUCAGUCCUGAAAAAGUGAGUAUUCUCAUCUUUUAGACUCGUUGGGUAAAAAUUGGAAGAAUGUUAUCAUAUGAUCAUGGUGAGUUCUGAAGUUCUGUUUUGUGGUUGGUGAUGGAAGUUGAUCAGAAGUGAAGGGAGAUUGAAGUAGCAGGAAAAUUUAUUUGCCUUUGGUGUUGCAAAUGGACCAAAAACUUAAUAUGGAGGAUACAAGUCAAUCUGGGAGGGCACGGUUCAUGAUGAUUUGUUUGGUAGGGUUGUAACAUAGUUUGACAGGUAUGGACCCUACGCUUUUAUCUUCCUCUCUUAGUGUCCUCUAGACUACCAGAUAAUAUUUUAUGUAUGAUUAUGGUUGGAUAAAGGUGGGUUUGAAUGCUACUAGUGAGUGUUUCACAGUGAGGAAUGGAGCUGGAACAUGACUCUUUCCCUAUCAAUGGUCUCCUUGUUGCCCCUCUAUAAGAGAGAGCCGUUGAUUUUUGGAUGGUGUUUGGAUAUGACACUAUAAAGUGAACUUUGCACGCCUAAUGCAAUUUGCAGAGUUUAAUCAAUGCUGUCGCGUAAUGCGACAUAAUCUUCGGCCAUGAUUAAGCCUUGGAGGUGGAUACCACUGAAUCGCAAGGUGGUCUGCUGGCCAUUCUUGUUCCCGGUUAGUGUGAAAGGUUUAGGUUUUAGAGUUUAGGAUUUAAAAUGACGGGAAAGCAUGUUAUGAAGUAUGAACAUGGUAUUGUGAAUGAGGAGGGGAUACAGGCAAAGGUUGAAUGAGUUUGAACACCUAAUUCUUUUGCCUAAUUGUGAGUGGAAAAGGAAGGCAAAGAGGCCAGAUGUUUAGUACCAAAUCUGGUAAAAGAUUUCACCCAACUAAAAAAAACAUAACACCAGAAUUCUGGCGAGUCAUGAUAGAUAUUGAAACCUAGUUCAUAGAGUGGUGGCAAGGUUAACAUAUGAGGGGCCCUCAAUGGAGCAAACCCUAGAUGGAGCCUUCUCAGGGUAGCAUUACCAGCUGUUUUGGCCGACAAUCUCUUUUUCUCUGAACCAAUCCAAUGCCUUCAAGAAGGGAUCAUAUGGCCUGAAAAGCCAAGACUUUUAGGCUCAUCGACAGCCUUCCUUCUCCUUCUCCUUCUCCUCCUCCUCCACCACCACCUCCUCCUCCUCCGAACCCGUAGUACAAUUUCAUUAGGCACAUGUCAUUUGAAACUCUAGUGCUGAUGGCACAACCCUGGACAGCUAAAUCACCUGCAUCAUGGUCACCGUGGCCCCAUAGGUGAAGUUCUUAGGGGCAGAUGGUGUUCACUGUUCAGAACCCAAUUUGAGGUUAACGCUCUUCAGAAAAUAAAAAGAAAGAAUAAACGAUGACAAAGGCAAUGGAUUAAACCGAAUGCACAUCAGAUUUAUUGUGUGUUUUUUUUUUGUUUUUUUAUUAACAUGGAUGAUCUCUUGCUUCAAGAAUGAAAUUUACUCCCAAAAUACUAUGGAGUUGAUGAAGAGGAGUUAUUGGGUAUCAUAUGAAUCCCAUCCAGCAAACAAGUGAUAUUGCAUUUGGCCUACUCGAGGAAAUUAUAAAACCUUAUGCAACCUGCUAGAAUUUCUGGAUAACAACUGAACUGGCUAAGCCAGCCUGCUCUAUCGUCUGGUCCAGAUCAGUAAGUUGCUUGGGAGGGAACCCCACUGUUUGCAGUUGAUAAUCUCUUGGCCCACUGGAUCUUGAUGCAUCAAUGAAGUUACGGAUGUCUCUGACUGUAUGGUGAUAGUUGAAACGUGAAAUCAUUCGUGUACCGUCUGCCAACCUCAGCUGAAUUGAGGUUAAUGGUAAUGUCUCAUCUACAACUAGACCCAUCGAUGGAGCUGGAGCAGUGUUAAAGGGAGUGGCAGGAACAGUUGGGUCAGGGCCUACUGGGUUGCUGCUGCUGCAGCCUAAAGUUCUUCCUACACCCUGGAAUGGAGGGUGUGGCUUCUCUGGUUCCUACAUGAAAACAAGGCAAGAAAAAAAACGGCAGUUUUAUUAAUAAUAAGAAGCACAUACACAUGGAAAACUGAAUAGGAAGAAACAAGGACAUACAAUGAACUUUUCAUUCUUCCUCACAAGAUUAACAUUGACUGCAGUCCUCCUAUCUGCUGGUUCAAACUCUUCAGGCCAUUCGGACUUCUUGAUGCUCUGCAUUAAGAAGUAACCGACCGUAAGGAUGCAACAUCCCACUAACGGCAAGAUGCCGACAGUAAAACAGUUAAACUUCAACUCUGGUUGAACUUGAACCAAAGUAAUUUGCAUAUGUUAUGGCAUUCAACUUCAACCACACAGGUAACCAAAAUAAUUCUCUACAUUUCAUCAUGACCAGUGAAUACGCCCAGUAACUCGUUAAAAAAAAAGGAAAAAGGAAAAAGAAAAAAACAUACAAACAAAAAAAAAAGGGAUAAAUAUCACAGCACGUGAUGCUCAAUGUAGAUCUUGGAGCAAACUCUACUGCCAAAUCCUGAAGACUCAGGAUCAUCAAUAUCAAUCCAGAAUCCCAGAUAGAAGGUUUAGAUAUUACCUCUAAGAAGGAUGCGUUUUCAGGAUCAUCCAAUCUUCGCAGAGGACCAUCAUCCACAGUGAAUCCAUUACUCCAAAAAAUGAUGUUGUGAGUGAUAGAUGCAGGAGGCUGAGGAGUGGAAGACACUGUCUCUCCUGAGAGUAAUCUCCCCAUUCCAGUGAAGCUUCUUGAGCUUGAAGAUGGGGGAAGAUGAUCAAUGGGCCUUUGCACAGCUCCAGCCUGUCCUGCUUGAUUGAAAAUGGCAUCCACAUCAUUGGCACUGGAAGGAUCUUGGACAAGCAUUCCACUGCAAAUAUUUUUUAGUAUUAUUUUUACUGUUAAACAGAUAAAGCCUAUAGAAAUAUUUGAAGUCUAUCAUUGAUAGCAUCAUUAUUAGAUGUUGAAGACAAGAUGAGGUCAAUUAAUACAAGAUGCAUUAUUUGUUCCAUCAGGUUGGUGUAAGAGCCAAUUUUCACGAAGAUGUAGUUUGUAGUCAUGUUAAUAGAUUCUGAACCAAAUUCUAAACAUGGUAAGUGGGUUGGAAAUGGCAACAUACAAGAAACAUCAAAAUCAACAUAUCUAACAAUUGUAUUAAGAAAUAUAUGACAGCAAGUAUGCUCUGACUCAAGAUGGCAAAGUAAUGAUAUCCUGUAUUACCUUCCUAAAUAGAAGGAUGUCAAGAGGAGAAAGAUCAAACUACAUGAAGAUGCAAAGUCCAAAGAAUUGCAUCAGAGGUUGCAUCACAAAUGAUAAGUUCACCUACGGCUUAUGAAAAUUUGUACAGCUGAUAUAAAGCAAUGGUCAUCCUAAUCCCAUGCUUGUAUCCCCCUUACCAUGAUAUGCAUUGGCAAUCCACCAAAACCAUGCUAAAAAACAGCCUCAAAGUUGACUGAUAAGAACAAGCUUGUCUUGAAGUGUCUCUAGAAUAGUUCCAAGCCCUUGGAUGAGAGCGAGGCUAAUAGUGCCAGCCUACAUUUAAACAAAUAUUGAAGUGGUCUAUGGGUAUAACAAAAAAUCCUAGAUUUUGCCUAUCAAUUCUAGGUGUUGAUACCUAAUCCUAUACAGGCAUGUGGGCCCAGGGAGUAUUUGCUUCAUGACCAUCAUAGCACAUAGAUUACUGACAUGCGAAUUCAUUCUCAGAAAUUGCAUCAAUAGUGGCCCCACUCCUAUUUAUAGUGUCAUCCAAUGCCAAUACUACCACCUAUGCUUCAAUUGCUUGGUCAAGCACCCAUUAGUUUAAUGCCUACAACCACCCUAAUGAAACACCCUCCUAUCCUCCUGCUAAGUAUUGCAAGGUAGUGCCUACAACCGUCUUGUGACAACUGCAACGUCAAGGCCCCUGCCAAUGAUGCAAAGAAACUACCAAUAACCCACAUACUGUUGUAACUAUCUUGCCUUUGCUCUGCUAGGGCUGCUGUUACUCCUACUUUGAUGAUAGAUAUUCAUUCUAGGUGGUGAUAGCUAUUGUCCAAUUGAAACAUGUAUCUAGGGACAUUCACCGCUUGACUAUCAUGACAUAUAAAAUUAAUUACACAUGAAUACUAUUGGAAGUCAUGUCAUUAGUAGGCCAACUCCUAUUAUAGUCUCACCCAUUGCCAAUAUUAGUACCUAUUGCUUCAAUUGCUCAUUCAAGCACUCAUUAGUUUAGUGCCUACCACCACUCUAAUGAACAUACUUCAAUCUUCCUGCUAGAUAUUGCAACAUGGUCUCUACACCUGUCUUGUUAAAACUGCAAUAUACUCCUGCCAAUACUGCGACAAAACACCAUUUUUUUUUUUUUUGAUAGACAAUAAAAAUUUGAUAGAUAAGCGGUAAAUAAGCAGUAUGCCAACCACCUAUACCAACAAAGGCAAAAUGCAAAAAAUAAUUCCCUUCGUCAACAAGAUCCCAACCAAUCUACAAAAUCAAUUAAACACAUCUAGUUUUCUUCUAUGCACAACCUAUUCCUAUCCCACAUAUUGUUGUAAGUUUGUAACUACAAUGUGGUCACUCUGCUCGUGUUAUACCACUACUGCUACUUUGCUAGUGAAGAAAGGAGACACAUGAAAUAAAUUCAUUGUAGGAUUGAUGCAUUUGCAUCAUGGAGAGAAUGAAGAAGGAUCACCCCAAACAUGCUAGGUUAGGCAAUUGUAUGUCACUUUGUUUCCUCUACUUGUUAUUACAUUAAUCCCUCCUCGCCUCAUUGAGAGAGUAACUCAAAAUGGUUGUCUCUGCAUCCUUCCCAGAGAGCAUCAUGUAAGCAUGACCCCAUCUUAUAAAAGAUAUUGCCUCACUCCUCUUGAAGGUGCCUAGUAAGAUAAUACCUAGAUGUUUCAUGUCUGUCUAAGUCAAGAGUAUGGGGAACUAAUUGGACAUGAUGCUCCUUUUGGUGAUUCCACGCAGUCUGACCAUCAAGUAUUUGGGAUAUGACUUAAGUUAGAGGUUACUGAGGUGGGAAUAACACAAACACAAAUGGGGUUAUUUCUGCCAAAUCAGGGAAGUUGGAGAUUACUUAUUGUUGUUACCACAUUUUUGGCCAAAAGGGUCAACUAGUUGUAAGUGAGUUGUCAUUUUAUUGGUUAAAAUAUUUCACCUUCAUUUACCCUUUAAAAGGCCUUUAGAAUAGGCAUAAAGGGUCAUCAUUUCAAAAAAUAAAAGAUUUUCUCUAAAUUUGAACCUUCAUAAGUUCACUCAUUGAAUUCUCCACUUGAGGCCUUUAGAGUGGUAUUGCUAGCCUCUCCAACCACUUUUCUCCUCUCACUUUGCUUUGUCUUUUCUCAAUUUGGAACACCUCAACAUUACCUGGUCUACCUCAUCUAACAAAGAUACUAGCAUAAAACUAGACAAGGAACAAAAAUUGCUAAUUAUUGUGUGUAUAUAUAUAUAUAUAUAUAUAUAAAUACAAAUUAUAAAUAAGAGUUAAAAAAAAAACAAGAUCCCAAGCCAAAGAGAGUAAGUUAGAAGAAUCUUUUCUCAAAGAGGCGGGGAAGGAAUAUAGCGAAACAUAGAUUUAUAUUAAUCAGCCCAACUUACACUUUUCAAGCCUAGUGUGAAGCAAAGGGAUUGGAUUUGGGAAAUAAGAAUGGAACCAUAGGCUCCUAUGCUGGAAGCAUUUCAGGGUAUAGGUCUAACCACCUUAAUUCCUGUUUCUGGCCAAAGAAAAUAUCUGUCAUUGGAAAAAAAAAUUAGAUCUUAAAUAUUGUUAGAAAAGGAUUUUUUUUUUUUAAAGAUAUCAACUUCUUUUGCUGGGUUGUUACAAACCACAUUACAUGGGUUUAGGUAUGGGUGUUGGGUGCAAGUAUGCGUCUAAGCGUCUGAUUACAUCUCAAAUUUUAGGAUAUGAGGACUCAGCUGAAAAAUGAUCUUCAAUGGUACUUGGAUAUGAUAUAAUAAAGGGAAAAAACCAAUUAAAAGUCAAUUAGAAGCAAAAAAACCAGCAUAUCUUUGAAAACAACAAAAUUCUCUUUCUUUCUCUAUUAUCCUCAUUUUUUAAAAAGAAAUAAAAAAGAAAAAACAGUAAAUAUCCAAAGCAAAAUAAAAGCAUCCUAAAAGGAUCCCCACACUCACACCCAUAACACUCUUGUCAUAUUGUCUCGACACUGGUAUGUUGGGUGAAGUUGAAGAGCCUGGGUAUGACAGGUUAACAAAAAACCUGGAAGAAAAAUUAGAUAGGAUGAAAAUUGGGAAAAAAAAUUAUACAUUUUGAAACUCAUCAUCUUAUAUAUAUUUAAAAAAAAAAAAAAAAGGAGUUACCUUAUGAGAAGAGGAGGAAAACUUAAUCUCAAACUUUGUUUUUGUUUCCUUUUGUUUUCCUUCUUUUCUUUUCUUUAUUACUUUAUCCUUUCUCCUAUAGUUUAUGUAAACACAAGAAGCCUAAGAAGAUAAAAUUAUAGCAGGAUAAUGCAAACCAAAGGAUGUGCAUUGCACAUGCCCAACAAUGCAGGAUGAUGCAAACCAAAAGAAGCCUAUAAUUUCACUUGAAAAGAUGAUCUACACUGUCUCCCAUGGUUUAUGUAAACCAAAACAAGCCUAAGAAGAUAAAAGUAUUGGACUAAAAUAUAACCAUGAUGCACCUAUAUUUUCACUUAAUGGAUGACCUGUUCCUGGGCUUCAUAUGGCACUCUUAGCACCCUGCACAUAGAUUCAGGGUAUCCAACUGGGGCAAAUCAGCCCAGCCCAGGCCAGUCCCACUGAGGAGUCUAAUCCAAAUGAUGUACAUUGCACAUGCCCAACAAUGCGCUCUGGACCACUCUGUUCGCUUCAUUCAAGCUUGGGGUAACUUCAUGCCCAUGAUCAGCAUUGUUUCCUCAUCUCCCCUGGCAGAACACUGUCCGGUGCCCAAGCAAGCACCAGGCAGAGCAGGUGGAGUAACUCCAACCCAACAAGGAUUCUUCUAGAAGCUGCGGUAGAUGGCAGUUGAAAUAUCUCUGACAAAGACAGAAAUUGUUUUAACUGCCUAACCUUGAAGUUAGGAACCUAACGUGAAGUGAGUUGCAGACGCUCAAGCUAUAAAACAAAACUGAACCAAAAACUGUAUGGUAAUUGGUAACGUUAUCUAUUGCAGGUGCUCAUUUCUACCUAUCAAAGUUCCUACCCAGGUGAUCCUCACAGUGUUUCUUGGAGCUCAAGCAUUUUUACUUCCAACAACAUGUUACGCAAAUUUUUAGCAAAUGAAGAUCAAUAACCACAUCUACUAAGAAAUCAUUUCUUGAGCUUACCCCAACCAACGCUAUUGAACGGUGGCCAUUCAAAGCCCUCCAAAUAAAUCGCCAUCAAGAAACCAUCAAAGUCAAUUCAAACAUCAAAUGAUUGUUUAAAAUAUCCAAGAAAACACCACAUUCUGUGCGGCUCAACGAAUUCCACAAUUGCGUUAGGCAUAAUAACUUAAAACAACAUUAUAUCAAGAUUCCAAGACUCCAUUUCCUCACCCAUUCUCCUGGGAACCAAACACACCAAGAACCUUAAAAGAGAGUACCUCUUCUCGCCACCAGUGUAAUACUCCUGCCCAUCAGAAUCGCUAUCGGAGCCAUCUCCAGCCGUCCGAUUCAGAUCAGAAAGCGUUCGAAUACCACCACGACCCCUCGGCGGAACCUUCCUGCCGGAAGCAGAAGAAGCCAUGGCCUUCCUAGAUCGGAGCUGGUACGGAUCCCGCGGCCUAGUCGGUCCCGGGGACGGCGAGCGGGAGCGCGACGGCGACGACUGAUCCUCCGACUGAGAUUGCGACUGAGACGGAGAAGCAGAAGCAGAAGCAGAAGCAGGAGGAGAGUGAGAGGGAGAGGGAGAAUGAGCGGGAGCGGGAGCGGGAGCAGGAGAGGGGCUACGGUGGGCGGAGUCGUUGUCUAAGAAGGCGGAGAGGGCUGCAUCGAGGUCCCAAUUGUGGCUCUCCAAGAAGAAGACGGCCACUGAUCUCGAUGAUGACGAGAUCUCCAAAAAGGCGUCGAUCAACUGGCUUUCCUUCUCCUUCGCUUCUUUUGCUCCGUCGUCCAUUCUGUAUACUUGAUACUCCUGGUGACUUCUCGGAGCUUGGCUGCUUGAGGAUGUUCGGACUCGCUACUUACCACUUAAAUCCCCUUACGGCGUCUUAGACUUUAACGACGCCGUACUUACAUGGGCUAUUUUAUUUUCGAAAGAUAUUAUUUUUAAAAAUAUGAAUUUAAUUCUUUGAGACACAUGAAUGGGAUUGAAAAAUAUAUCAUCUAUUAGGUAUUAGAAAUGCUAACUUUUAAUAACUUGUUCCCAAUUCACUUCCUUGGGUUAGAGGUCAACUCCGAUACCAUUUGUAUUAUGACCCGUUGCUCUCAUAUAGACAUUACUAUCUAUUAUAGGUCCAAUGAACGUUUUUACACGUAUGGUUAUGAGAUAUGAGAUAUCUACAUGUUAGAGUCCAAAACUUCUUCCCCGAUCCUUUAUGAGAUAUCCCACCAAUUCCAUCCCCACCCUUCAUUUUUCUUAACAUACUCAUUGAAUUCUCGCUUCUACUACCUACAUUAUUCAUUAUUCAAGAAAAGUUACGAAACA